rnacentral:lncRNA from 1 species
CAAAGCGUACAGGCGUCAGGUGAGUUUUCACCAUAGGGGGCGCUAUGGAGCCAUUUUUCAUUUUUUUGUUUGGGCGACUUCAGAAUAUCGAAUUUUUCACCAGGCCCGGUCGUCCUGCCAAAUUUCCUGAGUUUUCGCCAGUGGGAAGUGGGCCAUUUUCCAGUUUAAAGCGGAGGAAAAAUAACGAAAGAAGAAUCCAUCAGGAACAAGAGGGCUCUCGCAGCUGCUUAGCAGCUACGCUCGGGCCCUAACUAGGGCCCCGGUGGGGCACUGGCGGGCCCGAGCCGUGUCGCGCCGCCCCCAGCGCGACCGCCUACCCCUCCCGAUUGCGUCACACUCAAGGUCCAAAGAUGGUGUGCGCACUUGUCUGUGGUCAUUUACCAUUAUAAUGAAUGGGAGGCGCAGUUUCUACCAAAACGCUCGCUGCAGACAAACUACAUGUCCUGUUUGAAAAAAGUGUGGACCAUGAGUGAGGGCACAAACACAGCUAGUAUAUAUCCAAAUGGCAAGUUGCUCCUCCUUUCGGUUUUGCCGAGAGAGCGAUGCGUUUGAGCCAUUGAGCGAUGGGCAGGAAAAACUUGACUUUUUCUCCUGCCAUGGGGGGGCGCUCUUUUGGGGAGUAAAAAUUCCUGCACAAAUGUGUUGAUGGCUGGACAUUGCAUCAUCCUAGAAAACUUGGAGGCCAGUGAGGACAAAAAUAAAAAGUUAAAAGACUUUUAAAAAUGUGGAUAUUUGGGUCCUCUUUGGCGCCCCCUAGAACGUAGACCGUGGGGUGCAGCGUCAUGAUUUUUACAACUUUGAAUGGCCAUCGGGUGUAGAUUGGCCUGAGCAAAUUUGGUGUCAGUGGGACGAAAGCCUUAGGAGGACUAAGCCACAUUCCAAUGUGUGCGAAUCGGCAAAAAAUGCGAAAAAGCCCUUUAACCGUACAUUUUACAGAUACGCGUUCUUUAACUUUUUCGUAGAUCUUAUUGAGAUACACGUGUGUGUCAAAUUUUGUGUCAAUAUGACAAAGCGUUCAGGCAUGACACGCCAGCGCUGACUUUUUCGUAGAUCUUCUUGAGAUACAUGUGUGUGUCAAUUUUUGUGUCAUUUUGACAAAGCGUAAAGGCGUGACAGUCAAUAGUGUGAAUUUUCACCUUAGGGGGCGCUAUGGAGCCAUUUUGCAUUUUCUUGUUUGGGCGACUUCGGAAUAUCAAAUUUUUCACCAGGCCCGGUCAUCCUGCCAAAUUUCAUGAGUUUUCGCCAGUGGGAAGUGGGCCAUUUUCCAGUUCAAAGGGGAGGAAAAAGAAGAAAGAAAGAAACAAAGAAAAACCACUUGGGGAAUAAUAGGGCUCUCGCAGCUGCUUAGCAGCUACGCUCGGGCCCUAACUAGGGCCCCGGUGGGGCACUGUCGGGCCCGAGCCGCGUCACGCCGCCCCCAGCGUGACCGCCUCCACCUCCCGAUCGCGUCACACUCUAGGUCCAAAGAUGGAGUGCGCACUUGUCUGUGGUCAUUUCCCAUUAUAAUGAAUGGGAGGCGCAGUUUCUACCAAAACACUCGCUGCAGACAAACUACAUGUCCUAUUUGAAAAAAGUCUGGACCAUGAGUGAGGGCACAAACACAGCUAGGAUAUAUCCAAAUGGCAAGUUGCUCCUCCUUUCGCUUUUGCCGAGAGAGCGAUGCGAUUGAGCCAUUGAGCGAUGGGCAGGAAAAACUUGACUUUUUCUCCUGCCAUGGGGGGAGGGGGGGAUGUGGAUUCUUUUAAGAAUGUGGAUAUUUGGGUCAUCUUUGGCACCCCCUAGAACGUAAACCGUGGGGUGCAGCGUCAUGAUUUUUACAACUUUGAAUGGCCAUGGGGUGUAGAUUGGCCUGAGCAAAUUUGGUGUCAGUGGGACGAAAGCCUUAGGAGGAGUUAGCCACAUUCCAAUGUGUGCGAAUCGGCAAAAAAUGCAAAAUAGCCCUUUAACCGUACAUUUUACAGAUAUUUGCGCAUGACUUUUUCAUAGAUCUUAUUGAGAUACACAUGAUUGUCAAAUUUUGUGUCAUUUUGACAAAGCGUAGAGGCGUGACACUCAACAAUGUGUUUUUUCACCUUAUGGGACAAGAAAAAAUGGACUUUUUUCUCCUGCCAUGGGGGGGCGCUCUUUUGGGGAGUAAAAAUUCCUUCACAAAUGUGUUGAUGGCUGGACAUUGCAUCAUCCUAGAAAACUUGGAGGCCAGUGAGGACAAAAAUAAAAAGUUAUAAGACUUUUAAGAAUGUGGAUUUUUGGGUUAUCUUUGGCGCCCCCUAGAACCUAAACCGUGGGGUGCAGCGUCAUGAUUUGUACAACUUUUAAUGGCCAUGGGGUGUAGAUUGGCCUGAGCAAAUUUGGUGCCGGUGGAACGAAAGCCUUCGGAGGAGUUAGCGAAAUUCCAAUGUGUGCGGAUCCGCAAAAAAUGCGAAAUAGCCCUUUAACCGUACAUUUGACAGAUACGCGUUCUUUAACUUUUUCGUAGAUCUUAUUGAGAUACACGUGUGUGUCAAAUUUUGUGUCAAUAUGACAAAGCGUUCAGGCAUGACACUCAACAAUGUGUAUUUUCACCUUAGGGGACAAGAAAAAAUGGACUUUUUUCUCCUGCCAUGGGGGGCGCUCUUUUGGGGAGUAAAAAUUUCUUCACAAAUGUGUUGAUGGCUGGACAUUGCAUCAUCCUAGAAAACUUGGAGGCCAGUGAGGACAAAAAUAAAAAGUUAUAAGACUUUUAAGACUGUGGAUUUUUGGGUUAUCUUUGGCGCCCCCUAGAAUGUAAACCGUGGGGUGCAGCGUCAUGAUUUGUACAACUUUGAAUGGCCAUGGGGUGUAGAUUGUCCUGAGCAAAUUUGUUGCCGGUGGAACGAAAGCCUUCGGAGGAGUUAGCGAAAUUCCAAUGUGUGCGGAUCGGCAAAAAAUGCGAAAUAGCCCUUUAACCGUACAUUUGACAGAUACGCCCGCACUGACUUUUUUGUAGAUCUUAUUGAGAUACACAUGUGUGUCAAAUUUUGUGUCAUUUUGACAAAGCGUACAGGCGUCAGGUGAGUUUUCACCAUAGGGGGCGCUAUGGAGCCAUUUUUCAUUUUUUUGUUUGGGCGACUUCAGAAUAUCGAAUUUUUCACCAGGCCCGGUCGUCCUGCCAAAUUUCCUGAGUUUUCGCCAGUGGGAAGUGGGCCAUUUUCCAGUUUAAAGCGGAGGAAAAAUAACGAAAGAAGAAUCCAUCAGGAACAAGAGGGCUCUCGCAGCUGCUUAGCAGCUACGCUCGGGCCCUAAAGAAACAAAGAAAAACCACUUGGGGAAUAAUAGGGCCUACGCCCGGCUGCUCUGCAGCUGGCUCGGGCCCUAACUAGGACCCCGUUGGGGCACUGGCGGGCCCGAGCUGUGUCGCGUCCCCCCCCCAACGCGCUGCCUCCCCGUCCCAUUCGCGUCCUCUGGCCAUCGCCCUCUCUGGUAACGCCCAUCACUGCAAAGACCCUUUUCCUUCAUCGGCGUUUGCUGUUCUUCCUGCCAGUGCGUGUUGCUUUCACUUACACUUGCCACAGCCAGCCUCGUGAGUGCCUAGCCUAUUGGAUAUCACUGUCACCUACACAGGACAGUCAUUACCUUUCUAUUAAUACUUUGUUUUUUAAUUUCACAUUAAUUUCCAUAUUGUAUAAACAACUGGAAAAAACUUGAGCCCCUGCCCCUGUAUAAUCAUGUGCACGUCUCUGUUCUAGCUCUAAGGUGAAUCUUCACUGCUCAUGUUCUCCUCAGAAGCAGUCACCUCACUCCCCUCAGGUUACUGUACACAUGCACCAACUGCCUGCUUCAGGUUUGGAUGGAGCUUCAUGGUUGUCUUUUGGAGAAAUGACCAGUCAAGUUGUGUUUGAAAUCUGAUUUUUUUCAGGGGCAAAAGGAGCCUCUGCAUUCUUGUCAAAUACGUAAAUAGCAUGUUUUUGCAGGUGCUAAAAACCAGACUCUGGGUGUGUGUGUAUGCGUGUGUGUGUGUGUCUGUGUGUGUGUGUGUGUGUGUGUGUGUGUGUGUGUGUGUGUGUGUGCGUUCAAGUCACAUGACAUAUUUAACCGGAUGUAGCUGCAAGACGGAGCCUCAUUGACUCUCCGUUUCAACUUAUCUCAAAAGUGAGGACCUCAACCUAUAUACCAGUUUUUAAAUUGUGUUGAUAGGCCAAAUAAAACCAGAGUUAUGAUAAAUUAUGUCCGCGAUACUUGUUUUCAGCUUAUUUUGAUCACGUUCGGCGCUCGAUCGCGCUGUAUGAGACAGGAAAACAUAGCAUGCAGACAUUAGCGACAGGUCUUACAGCGGAAAAGGCUUGCCAAAGGAAAAAAAAACACACCACAACAUCUCUCCUAUUGGUGGAAAACUUCACCACAACAACCAAUCCAAAAUUAUCUGGUGACUGAUUGACAAGGGGCGGGCGCUUACGUUCUUCCUGCAAUAUGAGAAGGGAGGGAGGGACUCUCAGCAGGGAUGCAGUCUGGGACACGUAGUUGCAAACCUAGCGACUUUGUUGUUAGAUUCAAUGACUUUUCAGACCCCCUAACGACUUUUUUUUAGAAAGAAAGUGACUUUUAUCGACUUCUUCUGGAGUUUAGAGACUCUGACAUGAAGCAGGCUUUCCUUACUGAGGAGUUAGCAACGCUGCUAAGGGUGCAGAGCCACACAUGCGCUCCGAGCUCUGCAUGGGAGACUGAAGCUGACAGAGCUGCAGCAGUUAGCAGGUUUCACCCUCAGAGACCACCAGGGGUUCAUGUUGAGGCAUUUUCAGUUUUUUUUUUUUUUUUUGCCAUAGACACUGUCAGCACAAUCUGCAGUUACACUAACAAAAAUGCUGCAAAAAACAAAGAAUUAUGGAAAAAUUACACAUGGACUAACAUAGAGGAGGAUCUACACAAGUUUUUUACAUCAUGUUUUACAUCAUGCAUCAUUUACAUCAUGUUUUUUUGUAGUGGCAUAAAUAAAAAGUGACAUUUGUGAGACUAUACAGUGUUUUGUAAAUAAUUUUACAAAGAACACCUGGGCCAUUGCCUGCAUUUUGAUGUAAAUAGAGGUAAAUUACUAUGUUCUUUGUUAAAAAUUUGCAUAUGUUUUGAAGUUUACAAUUUUUAUUUGAAGUUUAAGUUUUAAAAACAGUUCAUCACACAUAUUUGUGGUUUUCACAGUAAAAACGUUACUUUUUUCCACUCGGAUUUUAUGUUUUGUGUGUGAAUUUGGGUCCAAUGUGUAAAUAUAGUAUGUCAAAAUGAUAAAAUAACUGUAAAUUGACACAGGUGAGGUUGUGCUGAAAAAAAUGAUACCAGGCAAGGCAAGGUAAAAAUUUUCUAAGAGGAAAUAUAAAGGUAAAAUCUAAAGUAGUCAAAAACGGCCAAUAGUGACUCACAGACUCCACAGACAAGUCCCUUUGGCGCCACUCAGUGGGCAAAACUACUUUGUCAACUGUAAGGUAUAUUUGGGUCAUCUUUGGCGCCCCCUAAAACGUAAACCGUGGGGUGCAGCGUCAUGAUUUUUACAACUUUGAAUGGCCAUGGAGUGUAGAUUGGCCUGAGCAAAUUUGGUGUCAGUGGGACGAAAGCCUUAGGAGGAGUUAGCGAAAUUCCAAUGUGUGCGAAUCGGCAAAAAAUGCAAAAUAGCCCUUUUACCGUACAUUAUACAGAUACGCGCGCAUGGACUUUUUUGUAGAUCUUAUUGAGAUACAUGUGUGUGUCAAUUUUUGUGUCAUUUUGACAAAGCGUACAGGCGUGACACUCAACAAUGUGUAUUUUCACCUUAGGGGACAAGAAAAAAUGGACUUUUUUCUCCUGCCAUGGGGGGGCGCUCUUUUGGGGAGUAAAAAUUCCUUCACAAAUGUGUUGAUGGCUGGACAUUGCAUCAUCCUAGAAAACUUGGAGGCCAGUGAGGGCAAAAAAUAAAAAGUUAUAAGACUUUUAAAUAUGUGGAUUUUAGUGUUAUCUUUGGCGCCCCCUAGAACCUAAACCGUGGGGUGCAGGGUCAUGAUUUGAAUAACUUUUAAUGGCCAUGGGGUGUAGAUUGGCCUGAGCAAAUGUGGUGCCGGUGGAACGAAAGCCUUCGGAGGAGUUAGCGAAAUUCCAAUGUGUGCGGAUCGGCAAAAAAUGCGAAAUAACCCUUUAACCGUACAUUUGACAGAUACGCCCGCACUGACUUUUUUGUAGAUCUUAUUGAGAUACAUGUGUGUGUCAAUUUUUGUGUCAUUUUGACAAAGCGUACAGGCGUGACAGUCAAUAGUGUGAAUUUUCACCAUAGGGGGCGCUAUGGAGCCAUUUUUCAUUUUUUUGUUUGGGCGACUUCAGAAUAUCAAAUUUUUCACCAGGCCCGGUCGUCCUGCCAAAUUUCCUGAGUUUUCGUCAGUGGGAAGUGGGCCAUUUUCCAGUUUAAAGCGGAGGAAAAAUAACGAAAGAAGAAUCCAUCAGGAACUAGGGCCCCGUUGGGGCACUGGCGGGCCCGAGCCGUGUCACGCCGCCCCCAGCGCGACCGCCUCCCCCACCCGAUCGCGUCACACUCAAGGUUCAAAGAUGGUGUGCGCACUUGUUUGUGGUCAUUUACCAUUAUAAUGAACGGGAGGCGCAGUUUCUACCAAAACGCUCGCUGCAGAAAAACUCCAUGUCCUAUUUGAAAAAAGUCUGGACCAUGAGUGAGGUCACAAACACAGCUAAGAUAUAUCCAAAUGGCAAGUUGCUCCUCCUUUCGCUUUUGCCGAGAGAGCAGUGCGUUUGAGCCAUUGAAUGAUGAACAGGAAAAACUUGACUUUAUUCUCCUGCCAUGGGGGGGCGCUCUUUUAACGAGAAAAAACUCCUUCACAAAUGUGUUGAUGGCUGGACAUUGCAUCAUCCUAGAAAACAUGGAGGCCAGUGAGGACAAAAAUAAAAAGUUAUAAGACUUUGAAAUAUGUGGAUUUUAGGGUUAUCUUUGGCGCCCCCUAGAACCUAAACCGUGGGGUGCAGCGUCAUGAUUUGAAUAACUUUUAAUGGCCAUGGGGUGUAGAUUGGCCUGAGCAAAUGUGGUGCCGGUGGAACGAAAGCCUUCGGAGGAGUUAGCGAAAUUCCAAUGUGUGCGGAUCGGCAAAAAAUGCGGAAUAACCCUUUAACCGUACAUUUGACAGAUACGUGGCCAUUGACUUUUUCGAAGAUCUUAUUGAGAUACAUGUGUGUGUCAAUUUUGGUGUCAUUUUGCCAAAGCGUACAGGUGUUACACUCAACAAUGUGUAUUUUCACCUUAGGGGACAAGAAAAAAUGGAAUUUUUUCUCCUGCCAUGGUGGGGCGCUCUUUUGGGGAGUAAAAAUUCCUUCACAAAUGUGUUGAUGGCUGGACAUUGCAUCAUCCUAGAAAACUUGGAGGCCAGUGGGGACAAAAAUAAAAAGUUAUAAGAAUUUUAAAUAUGUGGAUCUUAGGGUUAUCUUUGGCGCCCCCUAGAACCUAAACCGUGGGGUGCAGCGUCAUGAUUUGAAUAACUUUGAAUGGCCAUGGGGUGUAGAUUGGCCUGAGCAAAUGUGGUGCCGGUGGAACGAAAGCCUUCGGAGGAGUUAGCGAAAUUCCAAUGUGUGCGGAUCGGCAAAAAAUGCGAAAUAACCCUUUAACCGUACAUUUGACAGAUACGCCCGCACUGACUUUUUUGUAGAUCUUAUUGAGAUACAUGUGUGUGUCAAUUUUUGUGUCAUUUUGACAAAGCGUACAGGCGUGACAGUCAAUAGUGUGAAUUUUCACCUUAGGGGGCGCUAUGGAGCCAUUUUGCAUUUUCUUGUUUGGGCGACUUCGGAAUAUCAAAUUUUUCACCAGGCCCGGUCGUCCUGCCAAAUUUCAUGAGUUUUCGCCAGUGGGAAGUGGGCCAUUUUCCAGUUCAAAGGGGAGGAAAAAUAAUAACUAGGGCCCUGUUGGGGCACUGGCGGGCCCGAGCCGUGUCGCGCCGCCCCCAGCGCGACCGCCUACCCCUCCCGAUCGCGUCACACUCAAGGUCCAAAGAUGGUGUGCGCACUUGUCUGUGGUCAUUUACCAUUAUAAUGAAUGGGAGGCGCAGUUUCUACCAAAACGCUCGCUGCAGACAAACUCCAUGUCCUUUUUGAAAAAAGUCUGGACCAUGAGUGAGGGCACAAACACAGCUAGUAUAUAUCCAAAUGGCAAGUUGCUCCUCCUUUCCGUUUUGCCGAGAGAGCGAUGCGUUUGAGCCAUUAAGCGAUGGGCAGGAAAAACUUGACUUUUUCUCCUGCCAUGGGGGGGGCGCUCUUUUGGGGAGUAAAAAUUCCCUCACAAAUGUGUUGAUGGCUGGACAUUGCAUCAUCCUAGAAAACUUGGAGGCCAGUGAGGACAAAAAUAAAAAGUUAUAAGACUUCUAAAAAUGUGGAUAUUUGGGGCCUCUUUGGCGCCCCCUAGAACAUAAACCGUGGGGUGCAGCGUCAUGAUUUGUACAACUUUGAAUGGCCAUGGGGUGUAGAUUGACCUGAGCAAAUUUGGUGUCAGUGGGAUGAAAGCCUUAGGAGGAGUUAGCCACAUUCCAAUGUGUGCAAAUCGGCAAAAAAUGCGAAAUAGCCCUUUAACCGUACAUUGAACAGAUACGCUCGCAUUGACUUUUUCGUAGAUCGUAUUGAGAUACAUGUGUGUGUCAAUUUUUGUGUCAUUUUGACAAAGCGUAAAGGCGUGACAGUCAACAAUGUGUAUUUUCGCCUUAGGAGACAAGAAAAAAUGGACUUUUUUCUCCUGCCAUUGGGGGGCGCUCUUUUGGGGAGUAAAAAUUCCUUCACAAAUGUGUUGAUGGCUGGACAUUGCAUCAUCCUAGAGAACUUGGAGGCCAGUGAGGACAAAAAUAAAAAGUUAUAAGACUUUUAAGACUGUGGAUUUUUGGGUUAUCUUUGGCGCCCCCUAGAACGUAAACCGUGGGGUGCAGCGUCAUGAUUUGUACAACUUUUAAUGGCCAUGGGGUGUAGAUUGGCCUGAGCAAAUGUGGUGCCAUUGGAACGAAAGCCUUCGGAGGAGUUAGCGAAAUUCCAAUGUGUGUGGAUCGGCAAAAAAUGCGAAAUAACCCUUUAACCGUACAUUUGACAGAUACGCCCGCACUGACUUUUUUGUAGAUCUUAUUGAGAUACAUGUGUGUGUCAAUUUUUGUGUCAAUAUGACAAAGCGUAAAGGCGUGACAGUCAAUAGUGUGAAUUUUCACCUUAGGGGGCGCUAUGGAGCCAUUUUGCAUUUUAUUGUUUGGGCAACUUCAGAAUAUCGAAUUUUUUACCAGGCCCGGUCGUCCUGCCAAAUUUCAUGAGUUUUCGCCAGUGGGAAGUGGGCCAUUUUCCAGUUUAAAGCGGAGGGAAAAUAAUAAUAAUAAUAAUAAUAAUAAUAAUAAUAACAAACUAGGGCCCCGGUGGGGCACUGGCGGGCCCGAGCCGUGUCACGCCGCCCCCAGCGCGACCGCCUACCCCUCCCGAUCGCGUCACACUCAAGGUCCAAAGAUGGUGUGCGCACUUGUCUGUGGUCAUUUACCAUUAUAAUGAAUGGGAGGCGCAGUUUCUACCAAAACGCUCGCUGCAGACAAACUCCAUGUCCUUUUUGAAAAAAGUCUGGACCAUGAGUGAGGGCACAAACACAGCUAGUAUAUAUCCAAAUGGCAAGUUGCUCCUCCUUUCGGUUUUGCCGAGAGAGCGAUGCGUUUGAGCCAUUGAGCGAUGGGCAGGAAAAACUUGACUUUUUCUCCUGCCAUGGGGGGGCGCUCUUUUGGGGAGAAAAAAUUCCUUCACAAAUGUGUUGAUGGCUGGACAUUGCAUCAUCCUAGAAAACUUGGAGGCCAGUGAGGACAAAAAUAAAAAGUUAUAAGACUUCUAAAAAUGUGGAUAUUUGGGUCCUCUUUGGCGCCCCCUAGAACGUAGACCAUGGGGUGCAGCGUCAUGAUUUUUACAACUUUGAAUGGCCAUGGGGUGUAGAUUGGCCUGAGCAAAUUUGGUGUCAGUGGGACGAAAGCCUUAGGAGGAGUUAGCCACAUUCCAAUGUGUACGAAUCGGCAAAAAAUGCGAAAUAGCCCUUUAACCGUACAUUUUACAGAUACGCUCGCAUUGACUUUUUCGUAGAUCUUAUUGAGAUACACGUGAUUGUCAAAUUUUGUGUCAAUAUGACAAAGCGUACAGGCGUGACAUUCAACAAUGUGUAUUUUCACCUUAGGGGACAAGAAAAAAUUGACUUUUUUCUCCUGCCAUGGGGGGGCGCUCUUUUGGGGAGUAAAAAUUCCUUCACAAAUGUGUUGAUGGCUGGACAUUGCAUCAUCCUAGAAAACUUGGAGGCCAGUGAGGACAAAAAUAAAAAGUUAUAAAACUUUUAAGAAUGUGGAUUUUAGGGUUAUUUUUGGUGCCCCCUAGAACCUAAACCAUGGGGUGCAGCAUCAUGAUUUGUACAACUUUGAAUGGCCAUGGAGUGUAGAUUGGCCUGAGCAAAUGUGGUGCCGGUGGAACGAAAGCCUUCGGAGGAGUUAGCGAAAUUCCAAUGUGUGCGGAUCUGCAAAAAAUGCGAAAUAACCCUUUAACCGUACAUUUGACAGAUACGCCCGCACUGACUUUUUUGUAGAUCUUAUUGAGAUACAUGUGUGUGUCAAUUUUUGUGUCAAUAUGACAAAGCGUACAGGCGUGACAGUCAAUAGUGUGAAUUUUCACCUUAGGGGGCGCUAUGGAGCCAUUUUGUAUUUUAUUGUUUGGGCGACUUCAGAAUAUCGAAUUUUUCACCAGGCCCGGUCGUCCUGCCAAAUUUCCUGAGUUUUCGCCAGUGGGAAGUGGGCCAUUUUCCAGUUUAAAGCGGAGGAAAAAUAAUAACUAGGACCCCGUUGGGGCACUGUCGGGCCCGAGCCGUGUCGCGUCCCCCCCCCCCCCCCCCCAACGUGCUGCCUCCCCGUCCCAUUUGUGUCCUCUGGCCAUCGCCCUCUCUGGUAACGCCCAUCACUGCAAAGACCCUUUUCCUUCAUCGGCGUUUGCUGUUCUUCCUGCCAGUGCGUGUUGCUUUCACUUACACUUGCCACAGCCAGCCUCGUGAGUGCCUAGCCUAUUGGAUAUCACUGUCACCUACACAGGACAGUCAUUACCUUUCUAUUAAUACUUUGUGUUUUAAUUUCACAUUAAUUUCCAUAUUGUAUAAACGACUGGAAAAAACUUGAGCCCCUGCCCCUGUAUAAUCAUGUGCAUGUCUCUGUUCUAGCUCCAAGGUGAAUCUUCACUGCUCAUGUUCUCCUCAGAAGCACUCACCUCACUCCCCUCAGGUUACUGUACACAUGCACCAACUGCCUGCUUCAGGUUUGGAUGGAGCUUCAUGGUUGUCUUUUGGAGAAAUGACCAGUCAAGUUGUGUUUGAAAUUUGAUUUUUUUCAGGGGCAAAAGGAGCCUCUGCAUUCUUGUCAAAUAUGUAAAUAGCAUGUUUUUGCAGGUGCUAAAAACCAGACUCUGAGUGUGUGUGUGUGUGUGUGUGUGUGUGUGUGUGUGCGUGUGUGUGUCUGUGUGUGCGUUCAAGUCACAUGACAUAUUUAAUCGGAUGUAGCUGCAAGACGGAGCCUCGUUGACUCUCCGUUUCAACUUAUCUCAAAAGUGAGGACCUCAACCUAUAUACCAGUUUUUAAAUUGUGUUGAUAGGCCAAAUAAAACCAGAGUUAUGAUAAAUUAUGUCCGCGAUACUUUUUUUCUGCUUAUUUUGAUCACGUUCGGCGCUCGAUCGCGCUGUAUGAGACAGGAAAACAUAGCAUGCAGACAUUAGCGACAGGUCUUACAGGCGGAAAAGGCUUGCCAAAAAGAAAAAAAAAACACACCACAACAUCUCUCCUAUUGGUGGAAAACUUCACCACAACAACCAAUCCAAAAUUAUAUGGUGACUGAAUGACAAGGGGCGGGCGCUUACGUUCUUCCUGCAACAUGAGAAGGGAGGGAGGGACUCUCAGCAGGGAUGCAGUCUGGGACACGUAGUUGCAAACCUAGCGACUUUGUUGUUAGAUUCAAUGACUUUUCAGACCCCCUAACGACUUUUUUUUAGAAAGAAAGGGACUUUUAUCGACUUCUUCUGGAGUUUAGAGACUCUGACAUGAAGCAGGCUUUCCUUACUGAGGAGUUAGCAACGCUGCUAAGGGUGCAGAGCCACACAUGCGCUCAGAGCUCUGCAUGGGAGACUGAAGCUGACAGAGCUGCAGCAGUUAGCAGGUUUCACCCUCAGAGACCACCAGGGGUUCAUGUUGAGGAAUUUUAAUUUUUUUCUUUUUUGUGCCAUAGACACUGUCAGCACAAUCUGCAGUUACACUAACAAAAAUGCUGCAAAAAACAAAGAAUUAUGGAAAAAUUACACAUGGACUGACAUAGAGGAGGAUCUACACAAGUUUUUUACAUCAUGUUUUACAUCAUGCAUCAUUUACAUCAUGUUUUUUUGUAGUGGCAUAAAUAAAAAGUGACAUUUGUGAGACUAUACAGUGUUUUGUAAAUAAUUUUACAAAGAACGCCUGGGCCAUUGCCUGCAUUUUGAUGUAAAUAGAGGUAAAUCACUAUGUUCUUUGUUAAAAAUUUGCAUAUGUUUUGAAGUUUACAAUUUUUAUUUGAAGUUUAAGUUUUAAAAACAGUUCAUCACACAUAUUUGUGGUUUUCACAGUAAAAACGUUACUUUUUUCCACUCGGAUUUUAUGUUUUGUGUGUGAAUUUGGGUCCAAUGUGUAAAUAUAGUAUGUCAAAAUGAUAAAAUAACUGUAAAUUGACACAGGUGAGGUUGUGCUGAAAAAAAUGAUACCAGGCAAGGCAAGGUAAAAAUUUUGUAAGAGGAAAUAUAAAGGUAAAAUCUAAAGUAGUCAAAAACGGCCAAUAGUGACUCACAGACUCCACAGACAAGUCCCUUUGGCGCCACUCAGUGGGCAAAACUACUUUGUCUACUGUAAUGUAUAUUUGGGUCAUCUUUGGCGCCCCCUAAAACGUAAACCGUGGGGUGCAGCGUCAUGAUUUUUACAACUUUGAAUGGCCAUGGAGUGUAGAUUGGCCUGAGCAAAUUUGGUGUCAUUGGGACGAAAGCCUUAGGAGGAGUUAGCGAAAUUCCAAUGUGUGCGAAUCGGCAAAAAAUGCAAAAUAGCCCUUUUACCGUACAUUAUACAGAUACGCGCUCUUUGACUUUUUCAUAGAUCUAAUUGAGAUACACAUGAUUGUCAAUUUUUGUGUCAUUUUGCCAAAGCGUACAGGCGUGACAGUCAACAAUGUGUAUUUUCACCUUAGGGGACAAGAAAAAAUGGACUUUUUUCUCCUGCCAUGGGGGGGCGCUCUUUUAGGGAGUAAAAAUUCCUUCACAAAUGUGUUGAUGGCUGGACAUUGCAUCAUCCUAGAAAACUUGGAGGCCAGUGAGGACAAAAAUAAAAAGUUAUAAGACUUUUAAAAAUGUGGAUUUUUGGGUUAUCUUUGGCGCCCCCUAGAACGUAAACCGUGGGGUGCAGCGUCAUGAUUUGAAUAACUUUUAAUGGCCAUGGGGUGUAGAUUGGCCUGAGCAAAUGUGGUGCCGGUGGAACGAAAGCCUUCGGAGGAGUUAGCGAAAUUCCAAUGUGUGCGGAUCGGCAAAAAAUGCGGAAUAACCCUUUAACCGUACAUUUGACAGAUACGCGCACAUUGACUUUUUCGUAGAUCUUAUUGAGAUACACGUGAUAGUCAAAUUUUGUGUCAAUAUGACAAAGCGUACAGGUGUCACACUCAACAAUGUGAAUUUUCACCUUACGGGACAAGAAAAAAUUGACUUUUUUCUCCUGCCAUGGGGGGGCGCUCUUUUGGGGAGUAAAAAUUCCUUCACAAAUGUGUUGAUGGCUGGACAUUGCAUCAUCCUAGAAAACUUGGAGGCCAGUGAGGGCAAAAAUAAAAAGUUAUAAGACUUUUAAAUAUGUGGAUUUUAGGGUUAUCUUUGGCGCCCCCUAGAACCUAAACCGUGGGGUGCAGCGUCAUGAUUUGAAUAACUUUUAAUGGCCAUGGGGUGUAGAUUGGCCUGAGCAAAUGUGGUGCCGGUGGAACGAAAGCCUUCGGAGGAGUUAGCGAAAUUCCAAUGUGUGCGGAUCGGCAAAAAAUGCGCAAUAACCCUUUAACCGUACAUUUGACAGAUACGCCCGCACUGACUUUUUUGUAGAUCUUAUUGAGAUACAUGUGUGUGUCAAUUUUUGUGUCAUUUUGACAAAGCGUACAGGCGUCAGGUGAAUUUUUCACCUUAGGGGGCGCUAUGGAGCCAUUUUGCAUUGUAUUGUUUGGGCGACUUCAGAAUAUCAAAUUUUUCACCAGGCCCGGUCGUCCUGCCAAAUUUCAUGAGUUUUCGCCAGUGGGAAGUGGGCCAUUUUCCAGUUCAAAGGGGAGGAAAAAGAAACUAGGACCCCGUUGGGGCACUGGCGGGCCCGAGCCGUGUCGCGUCCCCCCCCCCCCCCCAACGUGCUGCCUUCCCGUCCCAUUUGUGUCCUCUGGCCAUCGCCCUCUCUGGUAACGCCCAUCACUGCAAAGACCCUUUUCCUUCAUCGGCGUUUGCUGUUCUUCCUGCCAGUGCGUGUUGCUUUCACUUACACUUGCCACAGCCAGCCUCGUGAGUGCCUAGCCUAUUGGAUAUCACUGUCACCUACACAGGACAGUCAUUACCUUUCUAUUAAUACUUUGUGUUUUAAUUUCACAUUAAUUUCCAUAUUGUAUAAACGACUGGAAAAAACUUGAGCCCCUGCCCCUGUAUAAUCAUGUGCAUGUCUCUGUUCUAGCUCCAAGGUGAAUCUUCACUGCUCAUGUUCUCCUCAGAAAUAGUCACCUCACUCCCCUCAGGUUACUGUACACAUGCACCAACUAUCUGCUUCAGGUUUGAAAUGGAGCUUCAUGGUUGUCUUUUGGAGAAAUGAACAGUCAAGUUGUGUUUGAAAUCUGAUUUUUUUCAGGGGCAAAAGGAAGCCUCUGCAUUCUUGUCAAAUAUGUAAACAGCAUGUUUUUGCAGGUGCUAAAAAACAGACUCUGAGUGUGUGUGUGUGUCUGUGUGUGUGUGUGUGUGUGUGUGUGUGUGUGUAUGUUGGCGUGUGUGUAUAUGUGUGUGUAUCCUGCAGUACUCUGUACUCCUGCAGUGGCCAAAAAGACUUUUAAGAAUGUGGAUUUUUGGGUCAUCUUUGGCGCCCCCUAGAACUGCAGUACUCUGUACUCCUGCAGUGGCCAAAAUGACUUUUAAGAAUGUGGAUUUUUGGGUCAUCUUUGGCGCCCCCUAGAACGUAAACCGUGGGGUGCAGCGUCAUGAUUUUUACAACUUUGAAUGGGCAUGGGGUGUAGAUUGCCCUGAGCAAAUUUGGUAUCGGUGGGACGAAAGCCUUAGGAGGAGAUAGCCACAUUCCAAUGUGUGCGAAUCGGCAAAAAAUGCAAAAUAGCCCUUUAACCGUACAUUAUACAGAUACGCGCUCUUUGACUUUUUCGUAGAUCUAAUUGAGAUACACAUGAUUGUCAAUUUUUGUGUCAAUAUGACAAAGCGUUCAGGCGUGACACUCAACAAUGUGUAUUUUUAUGUAAGGGGACAAGAAAAAAUUGACUUUUUUCUCCUACCAUGGGGGGGCGCUCUUUUGGGGAGUAAAAAUUCCUUCACAAAUGUGUUGAUGGCUGGACAUUGCAUCAUCCUAGAAAACUUGGAGGCCAGUGAGGACAAAAAUAAAAAGUUAUAAAACAUUUAAGAAUGUGGAUUUUUGGGUUAUUUUUGGCGCCCCCUAGAACCUAAACCAUGGGGUGCAGCAUCAUGAUUUGAAUAACUUUUAAUGGCCAUGGGGUGUAGAUUGGCCUGAGCAAAUGUGGUGCCGGUGGAACGAAAGCCUUCGGAGGAGUUAGCGAAAUUCCAAUGUGUGCGUAUCGGCAAAAAAUGCGGAAUAACCCUUUAACUGUACAUUUGACAGAUACGCGCGCAUGGACUUUUUUGUAGAUCUUAUUGAGUUACAUGUGUGUGUCAAUUUUUGUGUCAUUUUGACAAAGCGUAUAGGCGUGACACUCAACAAUGUGUAUUUUCACCUUAGGGGACAAGAAAAAAUGGACUUUUUUCUCCUGCCAUGGGGGGGCGCUCUUUUGGGGAGUAAAAAUUCCUUCACAAAUGUGUUGAUGGCUGGACAUUGCAUCAUCCUAGAAAACUUGGAGGCCAGUGAGGACAAAAAUAAAAAGUUAUAAGACUUUUAAAUAUGUGGAUUUUAGUGUUAUCUUUGGCGCCCCCUAGAACCUAAACCUUGCGGUGCAGCGUCAUGAUUUUGAUAACUUUUAAUGGCCACGGGGUGUAGAUUGGCCUGAGCAAAUGUGGUGCCGGUGGAACGAAAGCCUUCGGAGGAGUUAGCGAAAUUCCAAUGUGUGCGGAUCGGCAAAAAAUGCGAAAUAACCCUUUAACCGUAAUUUUGACAGAUACGGCCGCACUGACUUUUUUGUAGAUCUUAUUGAGAUACAUAUGUGUGUCAAUUUUUGUGUCAAUAUGACAAAGCGUACAGGCGUGACAGUCAAUAGUGUGAAUUUCCACCUUAGGGGGCGCUAUGGAGCCAUUUUGCAUUUUAUUGUUUGGGCGACUUCAGAAUAUCGAAUUUUUCACCAGGCCCGGUCGUCCUGCCAAAUUUCAUGAGUUUUCGCCAGUGGGAAGUGGGCCAUUUUCCAGUUCAAAGGGGAGGAAAAAGAAGAAAGAAAGAAAGAACUAGGGCCCCGGUGGGGCACUGUCGGGCCCGAGCCGCGUUGCGCCGCCCCCAGCGCGACCGCCUCCCCCUCCCGAUCGCGUCACACUCAAGGUCCAAAGAUGGUGUGCGCACUUGUCUGUGGUCAUUUCCCAUUAUAAUGAAUGGGAGGCGCAGUUUCUACCAAAACACUCGCUGCAGACAUACUACAUGUCCUAUUUGAAAAAAGUCUGGACCAUGAGUGAGGGCACAAACACAGCUAGGAUAUAUCCAAACGGCAAGUUGCUCCUUGUUACGGUGUUGCCGGGAGAGUGAUGCGAUUGAGCCAUUGAGUGAUGGGCAGGAAAAACUUGACUGUUUCUCCUGCCAUGGGGGUUGGGGGAUGGGGGGGGGGGGGGGGGAUGUGGAUUCUUUUAAGAAUGUGGAUAUUUGGGUCAUCUUUGGCGCCCCCUAGAACGUAAACCGUGGGGUGCAGCGUCAUGAUUUUUACAACUUUGAAUGGCCAUGGGGUGUAGAUUGGCCUGAGCAAAUUUGGUGUCAGUGGGACGAAAGCCUUAGGAGGAGUUAGCCACAUUCCAAUGUGUGCGAAUCGGCAAAAAAUGCAAAAUAGCCCUUUAACCGUACAUUUUACAGAUACGCGCGCAUUGACUUUUUCGUAGAUCUUAUUGAGAUACAUGUGAUUGUCAAAUUUUGUGUCAAUAUGACAAAGCGUACAGGUAUGACAGUCAACAAUGUGUUUUUUCACCUUAUGGGACAAGAAAAAAUGGACUUUUUUCUCCUGCCAUGGGGGGGCGCUCUUUUGGGGAGUAAAAAUUCCUUCACAAAUGUGUUGAUGGCUGGACAUUGCAUCAUCCUAGAAAACUUGGAGGCCAGUGAGGACAAAAAUAAAAAGUUAUAAGACUUUGAAAUAUGUGGAUUUUAGGGUUAUCUUUGGCGCCCCCUAGAACCUAAACCGUGGGGUGCAGCGUCAUGAUUUGAAUAACUUUUAAUGACCAUGGGGUGUAGAUUGGCCUGAGCAAAUGUGGUGCCGGUGGAACGCCAGCCUUAGGAGGAGUUAGCGAAAUUCCAAUGUGUGCGGAUCAGCAAAAAAUGCGGAAUAACCCUUUAACCGUACAUUUGACAGAUACGCGCGCGUUGACUUUUUCGUAGAUCUUAUUGAGAUACAUGUGUGUGUCAAAUUUUGUGUCAAUAUGACAAAGCGUACAGGCGUGACACUCAACAAUGUGUAUUUUCACCUUAGGGGACAAGAAAAAAUGGACUUUUUUCUCCUGCCAUGGGGGGGCGCUCUUUUGGGGAUUAAAAAUUCCUUCACAAAUGUGUUGAUGGCUGGACAUUGCAUCAUCCUAGAAAACUUGGAGGCCAGUGAGGUCAAAAAUAAAAAGUUAUAAGACUUUUAAAUAUGUGGAUUUUAGGGUUAUCUUUGGCGCCCCCUAGAACCUAAACCGUGGGGUGCAGCGUCAUGAUUUGAAUAACUUUUAAUGGCCAAUGGGUGUAGAUUGGCCUGAGCAAAUGUGGUGCCGGUGGAACGAAAGCCUUCGGAGGAGUUAGCGAAAUUCCAAUGUGUGCGGAUCGGCAAAAAAUGCGCAAUAACCCUUUAACCGUACAUUUGACAGAUACGCCCGCACUGACUUUUUUGUAGAUCUUAUUGAGAUACAUGUGUGUGUCAAUUUUUGUGUCAAUAUGACAAAGCGUAAAGGCGUGACAGUCAAUAGUGUGAAUUUUCACCUUAGGGGGCGCUAUGGAGCCAUUUUGCAUUUUCUUGUUUGGGCGACUUCGGAAUAUCAAAUUUUUCACCAGGCCCGGUCAUCCUGCCAAAUUUCAUGAGUUUUCGCCAGUGGGAAGUGGGCCAUUUUCCAGUUCAAAGGGGAGGAAAAAUAACUAGGGCCCCGUUGGGGCACUGGCGGGCCCGAGCCGCGUUGCGCCGCCCCCAGUGCGACCGCCUCCCCCUCCCGAUCGCGUCACACUCAAGGUCCAAAGAUGGUGUGCGCACUUGUCUGUGGUCAUUUCCCAUUAUAAUGAAUGGGAGGCGCAGUUUCUACCAAAACACUCGCUGCAGACAAACUACAUGUCCUAUUUGAAAAAAGUCUGGACCAUGAGUGAGGGCACAAACACAGCUAGGAUAUAUCCAAACGGCAAGUUGCUCCUCGUUACGGUGUUGCCGGGAGAGCGAUGCGAUUGAGCCAUUGAGUGAUGGGCAGGAAAAACUUGACUGUUUCUCCUGCCAUGGGGGAUGGGGGAUGGGGGAUGGGGGGGGGGGGGGGGGUAGGGAUGUGGAUUCUUUUAAGAAUGUGGAUAUUCGGGUCAUCUUUGGCGCCCCCUAGAACGUAAACCGUGGGGUGCAGCGUCAUGAUUUUUAAAACUUUGAAUGGCCAUGGGGUGUAGAUUGGCCUGAGCAAAUUUGGUGUCAGUGGGACGAAAGCCUUAGGAGGAGUUAGCCACAUUCCAAUGUGUGCUAAUCGGCAAAAAAUGCAAAAUAGCCCUUUAACCGUACAUUUUACAGAUACGCGUGCAUUGACUUUUUCGUAGAUCUUAUUGAGAUACAUGUGUGUGUCAAAUUUUGUGUCAAUAUGACAAAGCAUACAGGUAUGACAGUCAACAAUGUGUAUUUUCACCUUAUGGGACAAGAAAAAAUGGACUUUUUUCUCCUGCCAUGGGGGGGCGCUCGUUUGGGGAGUAAAAAUUCCUUCACAAAUGUGUUGAUGGCUGGACAUUGCAUCAUCCUAGAAAACUUGGAGGCCAGAGAGGACAAAAAUAAAAAGUUAUAAGACUUUUAAAUAUGUGGAUUUUAGGGUUAUCUUUGGCGCCCCCUAGAACCUAAACCGUGGGGUGCAGCGUCAUGAUUUGAAUAACUUUUAAUGGCCAUGGGGUGUAGAUUGGCCUGAGCAAAUGUGGUGCCGGUGGAACGAAAGCCUUCGGAGGAGUUAGCGAAAUUCCAAUGUGUGCGGAUCGGCAAAAAAUGCGCAAUAACCCUUUAACCGUACAUUUGACAGAUACGCCAGCACUGACUUUUUUGUAGAUCUUAUUGAGAUACAUGUGUGUGUCAAUUUUUGUGUAAUUUUGACAAAGCGUACAGGCGUGACAGUCAAUAGUGUGAAUUUUCACCUUAUGGGACAAGAAAAAAUGGACUUUUUUCUCCUGCCAUGGGGGGGCGCUCUUUUGGGGAGUAAAAAUUCCUUCACAAAUGUGUUGAUGGCUGGACAUUGCAUCAUCCUAGAAAACUUGGAGGCCAGUGAGGGCAAAAAUAAAAAGUUAUAAGACUUUGAAAUAUGUGGAUUUUAGGGUUAUCUUUGGCGCCCCCUAGAACCUAAACCGUGGGGUGCAGCAUCAUGAUUUGAAUAACUUUUAAUGGCCAUGGGGUGUAGAUUGGCCUGAGCAAAUGUGGUGCCGGUGGAACGAAAGCCUUCGGAGGAGUUAGCGAAAUUCCAAUGUGUGCGGAUCGGCAAAAAAUGCGCAAUAACCCUUUAACCGUACAUUUGACAGAUACGCCCGCACUGACUUUUUUGUAGAUCUUAUUGAGAUACAUGUGUGUGUCAAUUUUUGUGUCAUUUUGACAAAGCGUACCGGCGUGACAGUGAAUAGUGUGAAUUUUCACCUUAGGGGGCGCUAUGGAGCCAUUUUGCAUUUUCUUGUUUGGGCGACUUCAGAAUAUCAAAUUUUUCACCAGGCCCGGUCGUCCUGCCAAAUUUCAUGAGUUUUCGCCAGUGGGAAGUGGGCCAUUUUCCAGUUCAAAGGGGAGGAAAAAUAAUAAUAAUAACAAAAGAAGGAAACUACAGGAACAAGAGGGCUCUCGCAGCUGCUUAGCAGCUACGCUCGGGCCCUAAUAAUAAUAACAAAAGAAGGAAACUACAGGAACAAGAGGGCUCUCGCAGCUGCUUAGCAGCUACGCUCGGGCCCUAACUAGGGCCCCGGUGGGGCACUGUCGGGCCCGAGCCGCGUCGCGCCGCCCCCAGUGCGACCGCCUCCCCGUCCCGAUCGAGUCACACUCAAGAACCAAAGAUGGUGUGCGCACUUGUCUGUGGUCAUUUCCCAUUAUAAUGAAUGGGAGGCGCAGUUUCUACCAAAACACUCGCUGCAGACAAACUUCAUGUCCUAUUUGAAAAAAGUCUGGACCAUGAGUGAGGGCACAAACACAGCUAUGAUAUAUCGAAAUGCCAGGUUGCUCCUCCUUACGGUGUUGCCUGGAGAGCGAUGCGAUUGAGCCAUUGAGCGAUGGGCAGGAAAAACUUGACUUUUUCUCCUGCCAUAGGGGGGGGGAUGUGGAUUCUUUUAAGAAUGUGGAUUUUUGGGUCAUUUUUGGCGCCCCCUAGAACGUAAACCGUGGGGUGCAGCGUCAUGAUUUUUACAACUUUGAAUGGCCAUGGAGUGUAGAUUGGCCUGACCAAAUUUGGUGUCAGAGGGACGAAAGCCUUAGGAGGAGUUAGCCACAUUCCAAUGUGUGCGAAUCGGCAAAAAAUGCAAAAUAGCCCUUAAACCGUACAUUUGACAGAUACGCGCGAAUUGACUUUUUUGUAGAUCUUAUUGAGAUACAUAGAUGUGUCAAUUUUUGUGUCAAUAUGAUAAAGCGUACAGGCGUGACAGUCAAUAGUGUGAAUUUCCACCUUAGGGGACAAGAAAAAAUUGACUUUUUUCUCCUGCCAUGGGGGGGCGCUCUUUUGGGGAGUAAAAAUUCCUUCACAAAUGUGUUGAUGGCUGGACAUUGCAUCAUCCUAGAAAACUUGGAGGCCAGUGAGGACAAAAAUAAAAAGUUAUAAGACUUUUAAAUAUGUGGAUUUUAGGGUUAUCUUUGGCGCCCCCUAGAACCAAAACCGUGGGAUGCAGCGUCAUGAUUUGAAUAACUUUUAAUGGCCAUGGGGUGUAGAUUGGCCUGAGCAAAUGUGGUGCCGGUGGAACGAAAGCCUUCGGAGGAGUUAGCGAAAUUCCAAUGUGUGCGGAUCGGCAAAAAAUGCAGAAUAACCCUUUAACCGUACAUUUGACAGAUACGCGCGCAUUGACUUUUUCGUAGAUCUUAUUGAGAUACAUGUGUGUGUCAAUUUUUGUGUCAUUUUGCCAAAGCGUACAGAUGUUACACUCAACAAUGUGUAUUUUCACCUUAGGGGACAAGAAAAAAUUGACUUUUUUCUCCUGCCAUGGGGGGGCGCUCUUUUGGGGAGUAAAAAUUCCUUCACAAAUGUGUUGAUGGCUGGACAUUGCAUCAUCCUAGAAAACUUGGAGGCCAGUGAGGGCAAAAAUAAAAAGUUAUAAGACUUUUAAAUAUGUGGAUUUUAGGGUUAUUUUUGGCGCCCCCUAGAACCUAAACCGUGGGGUGCAGCGUCAUGAUUUGAAUAACUUUUAAUGGCCAUGGGGUGUAGAUUGGCCUGAGCAAAUGUGGUGCCGGUGGAACGAAAGCCUUCGGAGGAGUUAGCGAAAUUCCAAUGUGUGCGGAUCGGCAAAAAAUGCGAAAUAACCCUUUAACCGUACAUUUGACAGAUACGCCCGCACUGACUUUUUUGUAGAUCUUACUGAGAUACAUGUGUGUGUCAAUUUUUGUGUCAUUUUGACAAAGCGUACAGGCGUGACAGUGAAUAGUCUGAAUUUUCACCUUAGGGGGCGCUAUGGAGCCAUUUUGCAUUUUCUUGUUUGGGCGACUUCGGAAUAUCAAAUUUUUCACCAGGCCCGGUCGUCCUGCCAAAUUUCAUGAGUUUUCGCCAGUGGGAAGUGGGCCAUUUUCCAGUUCAAAGGGGAGGAAAAAUAAUAAUAACAAACUAGGACCCCGUUGGGGCACUGUCGGGCCCGAGCCGUGUCGCGCCGCCCCCAGUGCGACCGCCUCCCCCUCCCGAUCGCGUCACACUCAAGAUCCAAAGAUGGUGUGCGCACUUGUCUGUGGUCAUUUCCUAUUAUAAUGAAUGGGAGGCGCAGUUUCUACCAAAACACUCGCUGCAGACAAACUUCAUGUCCUAUUUGAAAAAAGUCUGGACCAUGAGUGAGGGCACAAACACAGCUAUGAUAUAUCGAAAUGGCAGGUUGCUCCUCCUUACGGUGUUGCCUGGAGAGCGAUGCGAUUGAGCCAUUGAGCGAUGGGCAGGAAAAACUUAACUUUUUCUCCUGCCAUAUGGGGGGGGGGGGGGGGGGGGGAUGUGGAUUCUUUGAAGAAUGUGGAUUUUUGGGUUAUCUUUGGCGCCCCCUAGAACGUAAACCGUGGGGUGCAGCGUCAUGAUUUUUACAACUUUGAAUGGCCAUGGGGUGUAGAUUGGCCUGAGCAAAUUUGGUGUCAGUGGGACGAAAGCCUUAGGAGGAGUUAGCCACAUUCCAAUGUGUGCGAAUCGGCAAAAAAUGCAAAAUAGCCCUUUAACCGUACAUUUGACAGAUACGCGCAAAUCGACUCUUUUGUAGAUCUUAUUGAGAUACAUAUGUGUGUCAAUUUUUGUGUCAAUAUGAUAAAGCGUACAGGCGUGACAGUCAAUAGUGUGAAUUUCCACCUUAGGGGACAAGAAAAAAUUGGCUUUUUUUUCCUGCCAUGGGGGGGCGCUCUUUUGGGGAGUAAAAAUUCCUUCACAAAUGUGUUGAUGGCUGGACAUUGCAUCAUCCUAGAAAACUUGGAGGCCAGUGAGGACAAAAAUAAAAAGUUAUAAGACUUUUAAAUAUGUGGAUUUUAGGGUUAUCUUUGGCGCCCCCUAGAACCUAAACCGUGGGAUGCAGCGUCAUGAUUUGAAUAACUUUUAAUGGCCAUGGGGUGUAGAUUGGCCUGAGCAAAUGUGGUGCCGGUGGAAUGAAAGCCUUCGGAGGAGUUAGCGAAAUUCCAAUGUGUGCUGAUCGGCAAAAAAUGCGGAAUAACCCUUUAACCGUACAUUUGACAGAUACGCGCGCAUUGACUUUUUCGUAGAUCUUAUUGAGAUACAUGUGUGUGUCAAUUUUUGUGUCAUUUUGCCAAAGCGUACAGGUGUUACACUCAACAAUGUGUAUUUUCACCUUAGGGGACAAGAAAAAAUGGACUUUUUUCUCCUGCCAUGGGGGGCGCUCUUUUGGGGAGUAAAAAUUCCUUCACAAAUGUGUUGAUGGCUGGACAUUGCAUCAUCCUAGAAAACUUGGAGGCCAGUGAGGGCAAAAAUAAAAAGUUAUAAGACUUUUAAAUAUGUGGAUUUAGGGUUAUCUUUGGCGCCCCCUAGAACCUAAACCGUGGGGUGCAGCGUCAUGAUUUGAAUAACUUUUAAUGGCCAUGGGGUGUAGAUUGGCCUGAGCAAAUGUGGUGCCGGUGGAACGAAAGCCUUCGGAGGAGUUAGCGAAAUUCCAAUGUGUGCGGAUCGGCAAAAAAUGCGAAAUAACCCUUUAACCGUACAUUUGACAGAUACGCCCGCACUGACUUUUUUGUAGAUCUUAUUGAGAUACAUGUGUGUGUCAAUUUUUGUGUCAUUUUGACAAAGCGUACAGGCGUGACAGUCAAUAGUGUGAAUUUUCACCUUAGGGGGCGCUAUGGAGCCAUUUUGCAUUUUCUUGUUUGGGCGACUUCGGAAUAUCAAAUUUUUCACCAGGCCCGGUCGUCCUGCCAAAUUUCAUGAGUUUUCGCCAGUGGGAAGUGGGCCAUUUUCCAGUUCAAAGGGGAGGAAAAAGAAAAAAGAAACAAAGAAAAACCACUUGGGGAAUAAUAGGGCUCUCGCAGCUGCUUAGCAGCUACGCUCGGGCCCUAAUAACAAAAGAAGGAAACUACAGGAACAAGAGGGCUCUCGCAGCUGCUUAGCAGCUACGCUCGGGCCCUAAAGAAAGAAAGAAAGAAACAAAGAAAAACCACUUGGGGAAUAAUAGGGCCUACGCCCGGCUGCUCUGCAGCUGGCUCGGGCCCUAACUAGGACCCCGUUGGGGCACUGGCGGGCCCGAGCCUUGUCGGAUGGAGCUUUGGAUGGAGCUUCAUGGUUGUCUUUUGGAGAAAUGACCAGUCAAGUUGUGUUUGAAAUUUGAUUUUUUUUUCAGGGGCAAAAGGAGCCUCUGCAUUCUUGUCAAAUAUGUAAAUAGCAUGUUUUUGCAGGUGCUAAAAACCAGACUCUGAGUGUGUGUGUGUGUGUGUGUGUGUGUGUGUGUGUGUGUGUGUGUGCGUGUGUGUGUGUCUGUGUGUGCGUUCAAGUCACAUGACAUAUUUAACCGGAUGUAGCUGCAAGACGGAGCCUCGUUGACUCUCCGUUUCAACUUAUCUCAAAAGUGAGGACCUCAACCUAUAUACCAGUUUUUAAAUUGUGUUGAUAGGCCAAAUAAAACCAGAGUUAUGAUAAAUUAUGUCCGCGAUACUUUUUUUCUGCUUAUUUUGAUCACGUUCGGCGCUCGAUCGCGCUGUAUGAGACAGGAAAACAUAGCAUGCAGACAUUAGCGACAGGUCUUACAGGCGGAAAAGGCUUGCCAAAAGAAAAAAAAAACACACCACAACAUCUCUCCUAUUGGUGGAAAACUUCACCACAACAACCAAUCCAAAAUUAUAUGGUGACUGAUUGACAAGGGGAGGGCGCUUACGUUCUUCCUGCAACAUGAGAAGGGAGGGAGGGACUCUCAGCAGGGAUGCAGUCUGGGACACGUAGUUGCAAACCUAGCGACUUUGUUGUUAGAUUCAAUGACUUUUCAGACCCCCUAACGACUUUUUUUUAGAAAGAAAGGGACUUUUAUCGACUUCUUCUGGAGUUUAGAGACUCUGACAUGAAGCAGGCUUUCCUUACUGAGGAGUUAGCAACGCUGCUAAGGGUGCAGAGCCACACAUGCGCUCAGAGCUCUGCAUGGGAGACUGAAGCUGACAGAGCUGCAGCAGUUAGCAGGUUUCACCCUCAGAGACCACCAGGGGUUCAUGUUGAGGCAUUUUAUUUUUUUUUUUUUUUGUGCCAUAGACACUGUCAGCAAAAUCUGCAGUUACACUAACAAAAAUGCUGCAAAAAACAAAGAAUUAUGGAAAAAUUACACAUGGACUGACAUAGAGGAGGAUCUACACAAGUUUUUUACAUCAUGUUUUACAUCAUGCAUCAUUUACAUCAUGUUUUUUUGUAGUGGCAUAAAUAAAAAGUGACAUUUGUGAGACUAUACAGUGUUUUGUAAAUAAUUUUGCAAAGAACGCCUGGGCCAUUGCCUGCAUUUUGAUGUAAAUAGAGGUAAAUUACUAUGUUCUUUGUUAAAAAUUUGCAUAUGUUUUGAAGUUUACAAUUUUUAUUUGAAGUUUAAGUUUUAAAAACAGUUCAUCACACAUAUUUGUGGUUUAAUUUCACAUUAAUUUCCAUAUUGUAUAAAUGACUGGAAAAAACUUGAGCCCCUGCCCCUGUAUAAUCAUGUGCACGUCCCUGUUCUAGCUCCAAGGUGAAUCUUCACUGCUCAUGUUCUCCUCAGAAAUAGUCACCUCACUCCCCUCAGGUUACUGUACACAUGCACCAACUAUCUGCUUCAGGUUUGAAAUGGAGCUUCAUGGUUGUCUUUUGGAGAAAUGAACAGUCAAGUUGUGUUUGAAAUUUGAUUUUUUUCAGGGGCAAAAGGAAGCCUCUGCAUUCUUGUCAAAUAUGUAAACAGCAUGUUUUUGCAGGUGCUAAAAAACAGACUCUGAGUGUGUGUGUGUGUCUGUGUGUGUGUGUGUCUGUGUGUGUGUGUAUGUUGGCGUGUGUGUAUAUGUGUGUGUAUCCUGCAGUACUCUGUACUCCUGCAGUGGCCAAAAAAACCUUUUAAGAAUGUGGAUUUUUGGGUCAUCUUUGGCGCCCCCUAAAACUGCAGUACUCUGUACUCCUGCAGUGGCCAAAAUGACUUUUAAGAAUGUGGAUUUUUGGGUCAUCUUUGGCGCCCCCUAGAACGUAAACCGUGGGGUGCAGCGUCAUGAUUUUUACAACUUUGAAUGGGCAUGGGGUGUAGAUUGCCCUGAGCAAAUUUGGUAUCGGUGGGACGAAAGCCUUAGGAGGAGAUAGCCACAUUCCAAUGUGUGCGAAUCGGCAAAAAAUGCAAAAUAGCCCUUUAACCGUACAUUAUAAAGAUACGCGCUCUUUGACUUUUUCGUAGAUCUAAUUGAGAUACACAUGAUUGUCAAUUUUUGUGUCAAUAUGACAAAGCGUUCAGGCGUGACACUCAACAAUGUGUAUUUUCAUGUAAGGGGACAAGAAAAAAUGGACUUUUUUCUCCUACCAUGGGGGGCGCUCUUUUGGGGAGUAAAAAUUCCUUCACAAAUGUGUUGAUGGCUGGACAUUGCAUCAUCCUAGAGAACUUGGAGGCCAGUGAGGACAAAAAUAAAAAGUUAUAAAACAUUUAAGAAUGUGGAUUUUUGGGUUAUUUUUGGCGCCCCCUAGAACCUAAACCAUGGGGUGCAGCAUCAUGAUUUGAAUAACUUUUAAUGGCCAUGGGGUGUAGAUUGGCCUGAGCAAAUGUGGUGCCGGUGGAACGAAAGCCUUCGGAGGAGUUAGCGAAAUUCCAAUGUGUGCGUAUCGGCAAAAAAUGCGGAAUAACCCUUUAACUGUACAUUUGACAGAUACGCGCGCAUGGACUUUUUUGUAGAUCUUAUUGAGUUACAUGUGUGUGUCAAUUUUUGUGUCAUUUUGACAAAGCGUAUAGGCGUGACACUCAACAAUGUGUAUUUUCACCUUAGGGGACAAGAAAAAAUGGACUUUUUUCUCCUGCCAUGGGGGGGCGCUCUUUUGGGGAGUAAAAAUUCCUUCACAAAUGUGUUGAUGGCUGGACAUUGCAUCAUCCUAGAAAACUUGGGGGCCAGUGAGGGCAAAAAUAAAAAGUUAUAAGACUUUUAAAUAUGUGGAUCUUAGGGUUAUCUUUGGCGCCCCCUAGAACCUAAACCGUGGGGUACAGCAUCAUGAUUUGAAUAACUUUUAAUGGCCAUGGGGUGUAGAUUGGCCUGAGCAAAUGUGGUGCCGGUGGAACGAAAGCCUUCGGAGGAGUUAGCGAAAUUGCAAUGUGUGCGGAUCGGCAAAAAAUGCGAAAUAACCCUUUAACCGUACAUUUGACAGAUACGCCCGCACUGACUUUUUUGUAGAUCUUAUUGAGAUACAUGUGUGUGUCAAUUUUUGUGUCAUUUUGACAAAGCGUACAGGCGUGACACUCAACAAUGUGUAUUUUCACCUUAGGGGACAAGAAAAAAUUGACUUUUUUCUCCUGCCAUGGGGGGGCGCUCUUUUGGGGAGUAAAAAUUCCUUCACAAAUGUGUUGAUGGCUGGACAUUGCAUCAUCCUAGAAAACUUGGAGGCCAGUGAGGACAAAAAUAAAAAGUUAUAAGACUUUUAAAUAUGUGGAUUUUAGUGUUAUCUUUGGCGCCCCCUAGAACCUAAACCUUGCGGUGCAGCGUCAUGAUUUUGAUAACUUUUAAUGGCCACGGGGUGUAGAUUGGCCUGAGCAAAUGUGGUGCCGGUGGAACGAAAGCCUUCGGAGGAGUUAGCGAAAUUCCAAUGUGUGCGGAUCGGCAAAAAAUGCGAAAUAACCCUUUAACCGUAAUUUUGACAGAUACGGCCGCACUGACUUUUUUGUAGAUCUUAUUGAGAUACAUAUGUGUGUCAAUUUUUGUGUCAAUAUGACAAAGCGUACAGGCGUGACAGUCAAUAGUGUGAAUUUCCACCUUAGGGGGCGCUAUGGAGCCAUUUUGCAUUUUAUUGUUUGGGCGACUUCAGAAUAUCGAAUUUUUCACCAGGCCCGGUCGUCCUGCCAAAUUUCAUGAGUUUUCGCCAGUGGGAAGUGGGCCAUUUUCCAGUUCAAAGGGGAGGAAAAAGAAGAAAGAAAGAAAGAACUAGGGCCCCGGUGGGGCACUGUCGGGCCCGAGCCGCGUUGCGCCGCCCCCAGCACGACUGCCUCCCCCUCCCGAUCGCAUCACACUCAAGGUCCAAAGAUGGUGUGCGCACUUGUCUGUGGUCAUUUCCCAUUAUAAUGAAUGGGAGGCGCAGUUUCUACCAAAACGGUCGCUGCAGACAAACUACAUGUCCUAUUUGAAAAAAGUCUGGACCAUGAGUGAGGGCACAAACACAGCUAGGAUAUAUCCAAAUGGCAAGUUGCUCCUCCUUGCGGUGUUGCCAGGAGAGCGAUGCGAUUGAGCCAUUGAGCGAUGGGCAGGGUUAACUGGACUUUUUCUCCUGCCUUGGGGGGGGGGGGGGGGGGGAUGUGGAUUCUUUUAAGAAUGUGGAUAUUUGGGUCAUCUUUGGCGCCCCCUAGAACGUAAACCAUGGGGUGCAGCGGCAUGAUUUUUACAACUUUGAAUGGCCAUGGGAUGUAGAUCGGCUUGAGCAAAUUUGGUGCUGGUGGAACAAAAGCCUUAGGAGGAGUUAGCCACAUUCCAAUGUGUGCGAAUCGGCAAAAAAUGCAAAAUAGCCCUUUAACCGUACAUUUUACAGAUACGUGCCCAUUGACUUUUUCGUAGAUCUUAUUGAGAUACACGUGUGUGUCAAAUUUUGUGUCAUUUUGACAAAGCGUAUAGGCGUGAAUCUCAACAAUGUGUUUUUUCACCUUAGGGGACAAGAAAAAAUGGACUUUUUUCUCCUGCCAUGGGGGGGCGCUCUUUUCGGGAGUAAAAAUUCCUUUACGAAUGUGUUGAUGGCUGGACAUUGCAUCAUCCUAGAAAACUUGGAGGCCAGUGAGGACAAAAAUAAAAAGUUAUAAGACUAUUAAGAAUGUGGAUUUUUGGGUUAUCUUUGGCGCCCCCUAGAACCUAAACCGUGGAGUGCAGCGUCAUGAUUUGUACAACUUUUAAUGGCCAUGGGGUGUAGAUUGGCCUGAGCAAAUUUGGUGGCGGUGGAACUAAAGCCUUCGGAGGAGUUAGCGAAAUUCCAAUGUGUGCGGAUCGGCAAAAAAUGCGAAAUAACCCUUUAACCGUACAUUUGACAGAUACGCCCGCACUGACUUUUUCGUAGAUCUUAUUGAGAUACACGUGAUUGUCAAAUUUUGGGUCAAUAUGACAAAGCGUAUAGGCGUGACACUCAACAAUGUGUAUUUUCACCUUAGGGGACAAGAAAAAAUGGACUUUUUUCUCCUGCCAUGUGGGGGCGCUCUUUUGGGGAGUAAAAAUUCCUUCACAAAUGUGUUGAUGGCUGGACAUUGCAUCAUCCUAGAGAACUUGGAGGCCAGUGAGGACAAAAAUAAAAAGUUAUAAGACUUUUAAGACUGUGGAUUUUUGGGUUAUCUUUGGCGCCCCCUAGAACGUAAACCGUGGGGUGCAGCGUCAUGAUUUGUACAACUUUUAAUGGCCAUGGAGUGUAGAUUGGCCUGAGCAAAUGUGGUGCCGGUGGAACGAAAGCCUUUGGAGGAGUUAGCGAAAUUCCAAUGUGUGCGGAUCGGCAAAAAAAGCGAAAUAGCCCUUUAACCGUACAUUUGACAGAUACGCCCGCACUGACUUUUUCGUAGAUCUUAUUGAGAUACACAUGUGUGUCAAAUUUUGUGUCAUUUUGACAAAGCGUACAGGCAUCAGGUGAGUUUUCACCAUAGGGGGCGCUAUGGAGCCAUUUUUCAUUUUUUUGUUUGGACGACUUCAGAAUAUCAAAUUUUUCACCAGGCCCGGUCGUCCUGCCAAAUUUCCUGAGUUUUCGCCAGUGGGAAGUGGGCCAUUUUCCAGUUUAAAGCGGAGGAAAAAUAACGAAAGAAGAAUCCAUCAGGAACAAGAGGGCUCUCGCAGCUGCUUAGCAGCUACGCUCGGGCCCUAACUAGGGCCCCGGUGGGGCACUGUCGGGCCCGAGGGGGGGAUUCCUUUAAGAAUGUGGAUUUUUGGGUCAUCUUUGGCGCCCCCUAGAACGUAAACCGUGGGGUGCAGCGUCAUGAUUUUUACAACUUUGAAUGGCCAUGGGGUGUAGAUUGGCCUGAGCAAAUUUGGUGUCAGUGGGACGAAAGCCUUAGGAGGAGUUAGCCACAUUCCAAUGUGUGCGAAUCGGCAAAAAAUGCAAAAUAACCCUUUAACCGUACAUUUGACAGAUACGCGCGCAUUGACUUUUUUGUAGAUCUUAUUGAGAUACAUAUGUGUGUCAAUUUUUGUGUCAAUAUGAUAAAGCGUACAGGCGUGACAGUCAAUAGUGUGAAUUUCCACCUUAGGGGACAAGAAAAAAUUGACUUUUUUCUCCUGCCAUGGGGGGGCGCUCUUUUGGGGAGUAAAAAUUCCUUCACAAAUGUGUUGAUGGCUGGACAUUGCAUCAUCCUAGAAAACUUGGAGGCCAGUGAGGACAAAAAUAAAAAGUUAUAAGACUUUUAAAUAUGUGGAUUUUAGGGUUAUCUUUGGCGCCCCCUAGAACCUAAACCGUGGGGUGCAGCGUCAUGAUUUUGAUAAAUUUUAAUGGCCACGGGGUGUAGAUUGGCCUGAGCAAAUGUGGUGCCGGUGGAACGAAAGCCUUCGGAGGAGUUAGCGAAAUUCCAAUGUGUGCGGAUCGGCAAAAAAUGCGGAAUAACCCUUUAACCGUACAUUUGACAGAUACGCGCGCAUUGACUUUUUUGUAGAUCUUAUUGAGAUACAUGUGUGUGUCAAUUUUUGUGUCAUUUUGACAAAGCGUACACGCGUGACAGUCAAUAGUGUGAAUUUUCACCUUAGGGGGCGCUAUGGAGCCAUUUUGCAUUUUCUUGUUUGGGCGACUUCGGAAUAUCAAAUUUUUCACCAGGCCCGGUCGUCCUGCCAAAUUUCAUGAGUUUUCGCCAGGAGGAAGUGGGCCAUUUUCCAGUUCAAAGGGGAGGAAAAAUAAUAAUAACUAGGACCCCGUUGGGGCACUGGCGGGCCCGAGCCGUGUCGCGUCCCCCCCCCCCCCCCCCAACGUGCUGCCUUCCCGUCCCAUUUGUGUCCUCUGGCCAUCGCCCUCUCUGGUAACGCCCAUCACUGCAAAGACCCUUUUCCUUCAUCGGCGUUUGCUGUUCUUCCUGCCAGUGCGUGUUGCUUUCACUUACACUUGCCACAGCCAGCCUCGUGAGUGCCUAGCCUAUUCAAUAUCACUGUCACCUACACAGGACAGUCAUUACCUUUCUAUUAAUACUUUGUGUUUUAAUUUCACAUUAAUUUCCAUAUUGUAUAAACGACUGGAAAAAACUUGAGCCCCUGCCCCUGUAUAAUCAUGUGCAUGUCUCUGUUCUAGCUCCAAGGUGAAUCUUCACUGCUCAUGUUCUCCUCAGAAGCACUCACCUCACUCCCCUCAGGUUACUGUACACAUGCACCAACUGCCUGCUUCAGGUUUGGAUGGAGCUUCAUGGUUGUCUUUUGGAGAAAUGACCAGUCAAGUUGCAUUGACCAGUCAAGAGCCUCUGCAUUCUUGUCAAAUAUGUAAAUAGCAUGUUUUUGCAGGUGCUAAAAACCAGACUCUGAGUGUGUGUGUGUGUGUGUGUGUGUGUGUGUGUGUGUGUGCGUGUGUGUGUGUCUGUGUGUGCGUUCAAGUCACAUGACAUAUUUAACCGGAUGUAGCUGCAAGACGGAGACUCGUUGACUCUCCGUUUCAACUUAUCUCAAAAGUGAGGACCUCAACCUAUAUACCAGUUUUUAAAUUGUGUUGAUAGGCCAAAUAAAACCAGAGUUAUGAUAAAUUAUGUCCGCGAUACUUGUUUUCUGCUUAUUUUGAUCACGUUCGGCGCUCGAUCGCGCUGUAUGAGACAGGAAAACAUAGCAUGCAGACAUUAGCGACAGGUCUUACAGGCGGAAAAGGCUUGCCAAAAGAAAAAAAAAACACACCACAACAUCUCUCCUAUUGGUGGAAAACUUCACCACAACAACCAAUCCAAAAUUAUAUGGUGACUGAUUGACAAGGGGCGGGCGCUUACGUUCUUCCUGCAACAUGAGAAGGGAGGGAGGGACUCUCAGCAGGGAUGCAGUCUGGGACACGUAGUUGCAAACCUAGCGACUUUGUUGUUAGAUUCAAUGACUUUUCAGACCCCCUAACAACUUUUUUUUUAGAAAGAAAGGGACUUUUAUCGACUUCUUCUGGAGUUUAGAGACUCUGACAUGAAGCAGGCUUUCCUUACUGAGGAGUUAGCAACGCUGCUAAGGGUGCGCUCAGAGCUCUGCAUGGGAGACUGAAGCUGACAGAGCUGCAGCAGUUAGCAGGUUUCACCCUCAGAGACCACCAGGGUUUCAUGUUGAGGCAUUUUGAAUUUUUUUUUUGUUGUGCCAUAGACACUGUCAGCACAAUCUGCAGUUACACUAACAAAAAUGCUGCAAAAAACAAAGAAUUAUGGAAAAAUUACACAUGGACUGACAUAGAGGAGGAUCUACACAAGUUUUUUACAUCAUGUUUUACAUCAUGCAUCAUUUACAUCAUGUUUUUUUGUAGUGGCAUAAAUAAAAAGUGACAUUUGUGAGACUAUACAGUGUUUUGUAAAUAAUUUUACAAAGAACGCCUGGGCCAUUGCCUGCAUUUUGAUGUAAAUAGAGGUAAAUCACUAUGUUCUUUGUUUAAAAUUUGCAUAUGUUUUGAAGUUUACAAUUUUUAUUUGAAGUUUAAGUUUUAAAAACAGUUCAUCACACAUAUUUGUGGUUUUCACAGUAAAAAUGUUACUUUUUUCCACUCGGAUUUUAUGUUUUGUGUGUGAAUUUGGGUCCAUUGUGUAAAUUCAGUAUGUCAACAUGAUAAAAUAACUGUAAAUUCGCACAGGUGAGGUUGUGCUGAAAAAAAUGAUACCAGGCAAGGCAUGUGAUUGUCAAAUUUUGUGUCAAUAUGACAAAGCGUAUAGGCGUGAAUCUCAACAAUAUGUAUUUUCACCUUAGGGGACAAGAAAAAAUGGACUUUUUUCUCCUGCCAUGGGGGGGGCGCUCUUUUGGGGAGUAAAAAUUCCUUCACAAAUGUGUUGAUGGCUGGACAUUGCAUCAUCCUAGAAAACUUGGAGGCCAGUGAGGACAAAAAUAAAAAGUUAUAAGACUUUUAAAUAUGUGGAUUUUAGGGUUAUCUUUGGCGCCCCCUAGAACCUAAACCGUGGGGUGCAGUGUCAUGAUUUGAAUAACUUUUAAUGGCCAUGGGGUGUAGAUUGGCCUGAGCAAAUGUGGUGCCGGUGGAACGAAAGCCUUAGGAGGAGUUAGCCACAUUCCAAUGUGUGCGGAUCGGCAAAAAAUGCGGAAUAACCCUUUAACCGUACAUUUGACAGAUACGCGCGCAUUGACUUUUUCGUAGAUCUUAUUGAGUUACAUGUGUGUGUCAAUUUUUGUGUCAUUUUGACAAAGCGUAUAGGCGUGACACUCAACAAUGUGUAUUUUCACCUUAGGGGACAAGAAAAAAUGGACUUUUUUCUCCUGCCAUGGGGGGGCGCUCUUUUGGGGAGUAAAAAUUCCUUCACAAAUGUGUUGAUGGCUGGACAUUGCAUCAUCCUAGAAAAUUUGGGGGCCAGUGAGGGCAAAAAUAAAAAGUUAUAAGACUUUUAAAUAUGUGGAUCUUAGGGUUAUCUUUGGCGCCCCCUAGAACCUAAACCGUGGGGUACAGCAUCAUGAUUUGAAUAACUUUUAAUGGCCAUGGGGUGUAGAUUGGCCUGAGCAAAUGUGGUGCCGGUGGAACGAAAGCCUUCGGAGGAGUUAGCGAAAUUGCAAUGUGUGCGGAUCGGCAAAAAAUGCGAAAUAACCCUUUAACCGUACAUUUGACAGAUACGCCCGCACUGACUUUUUUGUAGAUCUUAUUGAGAUACAUGUGUGUGUCAAUUUUUGUGUCAUUUUGACAAAGCGUACAGGCGUGACAGUCAAUAGUGUGAAUUUUCACCUUAGGGGGCGCUAUGGAGCCAUUUUGCAUUUUCUUGUUUGGGCGACUUCGGAAUAUCAAAUUUUUCACCAGGCCCGGUCGUCCUGCCAAAUUUCAUGAGUUUUCGCCAGUGGGAAGUGGGCCAUUUUCCAGUUCAAAGGGGAGGAAAAAUAAUAACUAGGGCCCCGUUGGGGCACUGGCGGGCCCGAGCCGUGUCACGCCGCCCCCAGCGCGACCGCCUCCCCCACCCGAUCGCGUCACACUCAAGGUCCAAAGAUGGUGUGCGCACUUGUUUGUGGUCAUUUACCAUUAUAAUGAACGGGAUGCGCAGUUUCUACCAAAGCGCUCGCUGCAGAAAAACUCCAUGUCCUAUUUGAAAAAAGUCUGGACCAUGAGUGAGGGCACAAACACAGCUAAGAUGUAUCCAAAUGGCAAGUUGCUCCUCCUUUCGCUUUUGCCGAGAGAGCAGUGCGUUUGAGCCAUUGAAUGAUGAACAGGAAAAACUUGACUUUAUUCUCCUGCCAUGGGGGGGCGCUCUUUUAACGAGAAAAAACUCCUUCACAAAUGUGUUGAUGGCUGGACAUUGCAUCAUCCUAGAAAACAUGGAGGCCAGUGAGGACAAAAAUAAAAAGUUAUAAGACUUUUAAAUAUGUGGAUUUUAGGGUUAUCUUUGGCGCCCCCUAGAACCUAAACCGUGGGGUGCAGCGUCAUGAUUUGAAUAACUUUUAAUGGCCAUGGGGUGUAGAUUGGCCUGAGCAAAUGUGGUGCCGGUGGAACAAAAGCCUUCGGAGGAGUUAGCGAAAUUCCAAUGUGUGCGAAUCUGCAAAAAAUGCAAAAUAACCCUUUAACCGUACAUUUUACAGAUACGUGGCCAUUGACUUUUUCGAAGAUCUUAUUGAAAUACACGUGUAUGUAAAAUUUUGUGUCAAUACGACAAAACAUACAGGCGUAGCACUCAACAAUGUGUAUUUUCACCUUAGUGGACAAGAAAAAAUGGACUUUUUUCUCCUGCCAUGGGGGGGCGCUCUUUUGGCGAGUAAAAAUUCCUUCACAAAUGUGUUGAUGGCUGGACAUUGCAUCAUCCUAGAAAACUUGGAGGCCAGUGGGGACAAAAAUAAAAAGUUAUAAGACUUUUAAAUAUGUGGAUUUUACGGUUAUCUUUGGCGCCCCCUAGAACCUAAACCGUGGGGUGCAGCGUCAUGAUUUGAAUAACUUUUAAUGGCCAUGGGGUGUAGAUUGGCCUGAGCAAAUGUGGUGCCGGUGGAACGAAAGCCUUCGGAGGAGUUAGCGAAAUUCCAAUGUGUGCGGAUCGGCAAAAAAUGCGGAAUAACCCUUUAACCGUACAUGUAACAGAUACGCGCGCAUUGACUUUUUCGUAGAUCUUAUUGAGAUACAUGUGUGUGUCAAUUUUUGUGUCAUUUUGCCAAAGCGUACAGGUGUUACACUCAACAAUGUGUAUUUUCACCUUAGAGGACAAGAAAAAGUGGACUUUUUUCUCCUGCCAUGGGGGGGCGCUCUUUUGGGGAGUAAAAAUUCCUUCACAAAUGUGUUGAUGGCUGGACAUUGCAUCAUCCUAGAAAACUUGGAGGCCAGUGAGGGCAAAAAUAAAAAGUUAUAAGACUUUUAAAUAUGUGGAUCUUAGGGUUAUCUUUGGCGCCCCCUAGAACCUAAACCGUGGGGUGCAGCGUCAUGAUUUGAAUAACUUUUAAUGGCCAUGGGGUGUAGAUUGGCCUGAGCAAAUGUGGUGCCGGUGGAACGAAAGCCUUCGGAGGAGUUAGCGAAAUUCCAAUGUGUGCGGAUCGGCAAAAAAUGCGAAAUAACCCUUUAACCGUACAUUUGACAGAUACGCCCGCACUGACUUUUUUGUAGAUCUUAUUGAGAUACAUGUGUGUGUCAAUUUUUGUGUCAUUUUGACAAAGCGUACAGGCGUCAGGUGAAUUUUUCACCUUAGGGGGCGCUAUGGAGCCAUUUUGCAUUGUAUUGUUUGGGCGACUUCAGAAUAUCAAAUUUUUCACCAGGCCCGGUCGUCCUGCCAAAUUUCAUGAGUUUUCGCCAGUGGGAAGUGGGCCAUUUUCCAGUUCAAAGGGGAGGAAAAAUAAUAAUAACAAAAGAAGGAAACAUGCAGGAACAAGAGGGCUCUCGCAGCUGCUUAGCAGCUACGCUCGGGCCCUAACUAGGACCCCGUUGGGGCACUGGCGGGCCCGAGCCGUGUCGCGUCCCCCCCCCAACGUGCUGCCUCCCCGUCCCAUUUGUGUCCUCUGGCCAUCGCCCUCUCUGGUAACGCCCAUCACUGCAAAGACCCUUUUCCUUCAUCGGCGUUUGCUGUUCUUCCUGCCAGUGCGUGUUGCUUUCACUUACACUUGCCACAGCCAGCCUCGUGAGUGCCUAGCCUAUUGGAUAUCACUGUCACCUACACAGGACAGUCAUUACCUUUCUAUUAAUACUUUGUGUUUUAAUUUCACAUUAAUUUCCAUAUUGUAUAAACGACUGGAAAAAACUUGAGCCCCUGCCCCUGUAUAAUCAUGUGCAUGUCUCUGUUCUAGCUCCAAGGUGAAUCUUCACUGCUCAUGUUCUCCUCAGAAGCAGUCACCUCACUCCCCUCAGGUUACUGUACACAUGCACCAACUGCCUGCUUCAGGUUUGGAUGGAGCUUCAUGGUUGUCUUUUGGAGAAAUGACCAGUCAAGUUGUGUUUGAAAUUUGAUUUUUUUCAGGGGCAAAAGGAGCCUCUGCAUUCUUGUCAAAUAUGUAAAUAGCAUGUUUUUGCAGGUGCUAAAAACCAGACUCUGAGUGUGUGUGUGUGUGUGUGUGUGUGUGUGUGUGUGUGUGUGUGUAUGUGUGUGUGUGUGUCUGUGUGUGCGUUCAAGUCACAUGACAUAUUUAACCGGAUGUAGCUGCAAGACGGAGCCUCGUUGACUCUCCGUUUCAACUUAUCUCAAAAGUGAGGACCUCAACCUAUAUACCAGUUUUUAAAUUGUGUUGAUAGGCCAAAUAAAACCAGAGUUAUGAUAAAUUAUGUCCGCGAUACUUUUUUUCUGCUUAUUUUGAUCACGUUCGGCGCUCGAUCGCGCUGUAUGAGACAGGAAAACAUAGCAUGCAGACAUUAGCGACAGGUCUUACAGGCGGAAAAGGCUUGCCAAAAGAAAAAAAAAACACACCACAACAUCUCUCCUAUUGGUGGAAAACUUCACCACAACAACCAAUCCAAAAUUAUAUGGUGACUGAUUGACAAGGGGCGGGCGCUUACGUUCUUCCUGCAACAUGAGAAGGGAGGGAGGGACUCUCAGCAGGGAUGCAGUCUGGGACACGUAGUUGCAAACCUAGCGACUUUGUUGUUAGAUUCAAUGACUUUUCAGACCCCCUAACGACUUUUUUUUUAGAAAGAAAGGGACUUUUAUCGACUUCUUCUGGAGUUUAGAGACUCUGACAUGAAGCAGGCUUUCCUUACUGAGGAGUUAGCAACGCUGCUAAGGGUGCAGAGCCACACAUGCGCUCAGAGCUCUGCAUGGGAGACUGAAGCUGACAGAGCUGCAGCAGUUAGCAGGUUUCACCCUCAGAGACCACCAGGGGUUCAUGUUGAGGCAUUUUAAAUUUUUAUUUUUUUUUGUGCCAUAGACACUGUCAGCACAAUCUGCAGUUACACUAACAAAAAUGCUGCAAAAAACAAAGAAUUAUGGAAAAAUUACACAUGGACUGACAUAGAGGAGGAUCUACACAAGUUUUUUACAUCAUGUUUUACAUCAUGCAUCAUUUACAUCAUGUUUUUUUGUAGUGGCAUAAAUAAAAAGUGACAUUUGUGAGACUAUACAGUGUUUUGUAAAUAAUUUUACAAAGAACGCCUGGGCCAUUGCCUGCAUUUUGAUGUAAAUAGAGGUAAAUCACUAUGUUCUUUGUUAAAAAUUUGCAUAUGUUUUGAAGUUUACAAUUUUUAUUUGAAGUUUAAGUUUUAAAAACAGUUCAUCACACAUAUUUGUGGUUUUCACAGUAAAAAUGUUACUUUUUUCCACUUGGAUUUUAUGUUUUGUGUUUGAAUUUGGGUCCAUUGUGUAAAUUCAGUAUGUCAACAUGAUAAAAUAACUGUAAAUUCGCACAGGUGAGGUUGUGCUGAAAAAAAUGAUACCAGGCAAGGCACGUGAUUGUCAAAUUUUGUGUCAAUAUGACAAAGCGUAUAGGCGUGAAUCUCAACAAUAUGUAUUUUCACCUUAGGGGACAAGAAAAAAUUGACUUUUUUUCCCUGCCAUGGGGGGGCGCUCUUUUGGGGAGUAAAAAUUCCUUCACAAAUGUGUUGAUGGCUGGACAUUGCAUCAUCCUAGAAAACUUGGAGGCCAGUGAGGACAAAAAUAAAAAGUUAUAAGACUUUUAAAUAUGUGGAUUUUAGGGUUAUCUUUGGCGCCCCCUAGAACCUAAACCGUGGGGUGCAGUGUCAUGAUUUGAAUAACUUUUAAUGGCCAUGGGGUGUAGAUUGGCCUGAGCAAAUGUGGUGCCGGUGGAACGAAAGCCUUAGGAGGAGUUAGCCACAUUCCAAUGUGUGCGGAUCGGCAAAAAAUGCGGAAUAACCCUUUAACCGUACAUUUGACAGAUACGCGCGCAUUGACUUUUUCGUAGAUCUUAUUGAGUUACAUGUGUGUGUCAAUUUUUGUGUCAUUUUGACAAAGCGUAUAGGCGUGACACUCAACAAUGUGUAUUUUCACCUUAGGGGACAAGAAAAAAUGGACUUUUUUCUCCUGCCAUGGGGGGGCGCUCUUUUGGGGAGUAAAAAUUCCUUCACAAAUGUGUUGAUGGCUGGACAUUGCAUCAUCCUAGAAAACUUGGGGGCCAGUGAGGGCAAAAAUAAAAAGUUAUAAGACUUUUAAAUAUGUGGAUCUUAGGGUUAUCUUUGGCGCCCCCUAGAACCUAAACCGUGGGGUACAGCAUCAUGAUUUGAAUAACUUUUAAUGGCCAUGGGGUGUAGAUUGGCCUGAGCAAAUGUGGUGCCGGUGGAACGAAAGCCUUCGGAGGAGUUAGCGAAAUUGCAAUGUGUGCGGAUCGGCAAAAAAUGCGAAAUAACCCUUUAACCGUACAUUUGACAGAUACGCCCGCACUGACUUUUUUGUAGAUCUUAUUGAGAUACAUGUGUGUGUCAAUUUUUGUGUCAUUUUGACAAAGCGUACAGGCGUGACAGUCAAUAGUGUGAAUUUUCACCUUAGGGGGCGCUAUGGAGCCAUUUUGCAUUUUCUUGUUUGGGCGACUUCGGAAUAUCAAAUUUUUCACCAGGCCCGGUCGUCCUGCCAAAUUUCAUGAGUUUUCGCCAGUGGGAAGUGGGCCAUUUUCCAGUUCAAAGGGGAGGAAAAAUAAUAAUAAUAACAAACUAGGACCCCGUUGGGGCACUGGCGGGCCCGAGCCGUGUCGCGUCCCCCCCCCAAACGUGCUGCCUCCCCGUCCCAUUUGUGUCCUCUGGCCAUCGCCCUCUCUGGUAACGCCCAUCACUGCAAAGACCCUUUUCCUUCAUCGGCGUUUGCUGUUCUUCUUGCCAGUGCGUGUUGCUUUCACUUACACUUGCCACAGCCAGCCUCGUGAGUGCCUAGCCUAUUGGAUAUCACUGUCACCUACACAGGACAGUCAUUACCUUUCUAUUAAUACUUUGUGUUUUAAUUUCACAUUAAUUUCCAUAUUGUAUAAACGACUGGAAAAAACUUGAGCCCCUGCCCCUGUAUAAUCAUGUGCAUGUCUCUGUUCUAGCUCCAAGGUGAAUCUUCACAGCUCAUGUUCUCCUCAGAAGCACUCACCUCACUCCCCUCAGGUUACUGUACACAUGCACCAACUGCCUGCUUCAGGUUUGGAUGGAGCUUCAUGGUUGUCUUUUGGAGAAAUGACCAGUCAAGUUGUGUUUGAAAUUUGAUUUUUUUCAGGGGCAAAAGGAGCCUCUGCAUUCUUGUCAAAUAUGUAAAUAGCAUGUUUUUGCAGGUGCUAAAAACCAGACUCUGAGUGUGUGUGUGUGUGUGUGUGUGCGUGUGUGUGUGCGUGUGUGUGUGUCUGUGUGUGCGUUCAAGUCACAUGACAUAUUUAACCGGAUGUAGCUGCAAGACGGAGCCUCGUUGACUCUCCGUUUCAACUUAUCUCAAAAGUGAGGACCUCAACCUAUAUACCAGUUUUUAAAUUGUGUUGAUAGGCCAAAUAAAACCAGAGUUAUGAUAAAUUAUGUCCGCGAUACUUUUUUUCUGCUUAUUUUGAUCACGUUCGGCGCUCGAUCGCGCUGUAUGAGACAGGAAUACAUAGCAUGCAGACAUUAGCGACAGGUCUUACAGGCGGAAAAGGCUUGCCAAAAGAAAAAAAAAACACACCACAACAUCUCUCCUAUUGGUGGAAAACUUCACCACAACAACCAAUCCAAAAUUAUAUGGUGACUGAUUGACAAGGGGCGGGCGCUUACGUUCUUCCUGCAACAUGAGAAGCGAGGGAGGGACUCUCAGCAGGGAUGCAGUCUGGGACACGUAGUUGCAAACCUAGCGACUUUGUUGUUAGAUUCAAUGACUUUUCAGACCCCCUAACGACUUUUUUUUAGAAAGAAAGGGACUUUUAUCGACUUCUUCUGGAGUUUAGAGACUCUGACAUGAAGCAGGCUUUCCUUACUGAGGAGUUAGCAACGCUGCUAAGGGUGCAGAGCCACACAUGCGCUCAGAGCUCUGCAUGGGAGACUGAAGCUGACAGAGCUGCAGCAGUUAGCAGGUUUCACCCUCAGAGACCACCAGGGGUUCAUGUUGAGGCAUUUUAAAUUUUUAUUUUUUUUUGUGCCAUAGACACUGUCAGCACAAUCUGCAGUUACACUAACAAAAAUGCUGCAAAAAACAAAGAAUUAUGGAAAAAUUACACAUGGACUGACAUAGAGGAGGAUCUACACAAGUUUUUUACAUCAUGUUUUACAUCAUGCAUCAUUUACAUCAUGUUUUUUUGUAGUGGCAUAAAUAAAAAGUGACAUUUGUGAGACUAUACAGUGUUUUGUAAAUAAUUUUACAAAGAACGCCUGGGCCAUUGCCUGCAUUUUGAUGUAAAUAGAGGUAAAUCACUAUGUUCUUUGUUAAAAAUUUGCAUAUGUUUUGAAGUUUACAAUUUUUAUUUGAAGUUUAAGUUUUAAAAACAGUUCAUCACACAUAUUUGUGGUUUUCACAGUAAAAAUGUUACUUUUUUCCACUUGGAUUUUAUGUUUUGUGUUUGAAUUUGGGUCCAUUGUGUAAAUUCAGUAUGUCAACAUGAUAAAAUAACUGUAAAUUCGCACAGGUGAGGUUGUGCUGAAAAAAAUGAUACCAGGCAAGGCACGUGAUUGUCAAAUUUUGUGUCAAUAUGACAAAGCGUAUAGGCGUGAAUCUCAACAAUAUGUAUUUUCACCUUAGGGGACAAGAAAAAAUUGACUUUUUUUCCCUGCCAUGGGGGGGCGCUCUUUUGGGGAGUAAAAAUUCCUUCACAAAUGUGUUGAUGGCUGGACAUUGCAUCAUCCUAGAAAACUUGGAGGCCAGUGAGGACAAAAAUAAAAAGUUAUAAGACUUUUAAAUAUGUGGAUUUUAGGGUUAUCUUUGGCGCCCCCUAGAACCUAAACCGUGGGGUGCAGUGUCAUGAUUUGAAUAACUUUUAAUGGCCAUGGGGUGUAGAUUGGCCUGAGCAAAUGUGGUGCCGGUGGAACGAAAGCCUUAGGAGGAGUUAGCCACAUUCCAAUGUGUGCGGAUCGGCAAAAAAUGCGGAAUAACCCUUUAACCGUACAUUUGACAGAUACGCGCGCAUUGACUUUUUCGUAGAUCUUAUUGAGUUACAUGUGUGUGUCAAUUUUUGUGUCAUUUUGACAAAGCGUAUAGGCGUGACACUCAACAAUGUGUAUUUUCACCUUAGGGGACAAGAAAAAAUGGACUUUUUUCUCCUGCCAUGGGGGGGCGCUCUUUUGGGGAGUAAAAAUUCCUUCACAAAUGUGUUGAUGGCUGGACAUUGCAUCAUCCUAGAAAACUUGGGGGCCAGUGAGGGCAAAAAUAAAAAGUUAUAAGACUUUUAAAUAUGUGGAUCUUAGGGUUAUCUUUGGCGCCCCCUAGAACCUAAACCGUGGGGUACAGCAUCAUGAUUUGAAUAACUUUUAAUGGCCAUGGGGUGUAGAUUGGCCUGAGCAAAUGUGGUGCCGGUGGAACGAAAGCCUUCGGAGGAGUUAGCGAAAUUGCAAUGUGUGCGGAUCGGCAAAAAAUGCGAAAUAACCCUUUAACCGUACAUUUGACAGAUACGCCCGCACUGACUUUUUUGUAGAUCUUAUUGAGAUACAUGUGUGUGUCAAUUUUUGUGUCAUUUUGACAAAGCGUACAGGCGUGACAGUCAAUAGUGUGAAUUUUCACCUUAGGGGGCGCUAUGGAGCCAUUUUGCAUUUUCUUGUUUGGGCGACUUCGGAAUAUCAAAUUUUUCACCAGGCCCGGUCGUCCUGCCAAAUUUCAUGAGUUUUCGCCAGUGGGAAGUGGGCCAUUUUCCAGUUCAAAGGGGAGGAAAAAUAAUAAUAAUAACAAACUAGGACCCCGUUGGGGCACUGGCGGGCCCGAGCUGUGUCGCGUCCCCCCCCAACGCGCUGCCUCCCCGUCCCAUUUGUGUCCUCUGGCCAUCGCCCUCUUUGGUAACGCCCAUCACUGCAAAGACCCUUUUCCUUCAUCGGCGUUUGCUGUUCUUCCUGCCAGUGCGUGUUGCUUUCACUUACACUUGCCACAGCCAGCCUCGUGAGUGCCUAGCCUAUUGGAUAUCACUGUCACCUACACAGGACAGUCAUUACCUUUCUAUUAAUACUUUGUUUUUUAAUUUCACAUUAAUUUCCAAAUUGUAUAAACGACUGGAAAAAACUUGAGCCCCUGCCCCUGUAUAAUCAUGUGCACGUCUCUGUUCUAGCUCUAAGGUAAAUCUUCACUGCUCAUGUUCUCCUCAGAAGAUGUCACCUCACUCCCCUCAGGUUACUGUACACAUGCACCAACUGCCUGCUUCAGGUUUGGAUGGAGCUUCAUGGUUGUCUUUUGGAGAAAUGACCAGUCAAGUUGUGUUUGAAAUUUGAUUUUUUUCAGGGGCAAAAGGAGCCUCUGCAUUCUUGUCAAAUAUGUAAAUAGCAUGUUUUUGCAGGUGCUACAAACCAGACUCUGAGUGUGUGUGUGUGCGUGUGUGUGUGUGUCUGUGUGUGUGUGUGUAUGUGCGUUCAAGUCACAUGACAUAUUUAACCGGAUGUAGCUGCAAGACGGAGCCUCGUUGACUCUCCGUUUCAAUUUAUCUCAAAAGUGAGGACCUCAACCUAUAUACCAGUUUUUAAAUUGUGUUGAUAGGCCAAAUAAAACCAGAGUUAUGAUAAAUUAUGUCCGCGAUACUUGUUUUCUGCUUAUUUUGAUCACGUUCGGCGCUCGAUCGCGCUGUAUGAGACAGGAAAACAUAGCAUGCAGACAUUAGCGACAGGUCUUACAGGCGGAAAAGGCUUGCCAAAGGAAAAAAAAUACACACCACAACAUCUCUCCUAUUGGUGGAAAACUUCACCACAACAACCAAUCCAAAAUUAUAUGGUGACUGAUUGACAAGGGGCGGGAACUUACGUUCUUCCUGCAAUAUGAGAAGGGAGGGAGGGACUCUCAGCAGGGAUGCAGUCUGGGACACGUAGUUGCAAACCUAGCGACUUUGUUGUUAGAUUCAAUGACUUUUCAGACCCCCUAACGACUUUUUUUUAGAAAGAAAGUGACUUUUAUCGACUUCUUCUGGAGUUUAGAGACUCUGACAUGAAGCAGGCUUUCCUUACUGAGGAGUUAGCAACGCUGCUAAGGGUGCAGAGCCACACAUGCGCUCCGAGCUCUGCAUGGGAGACUGAAGCUGACAGAGCUGCAGCAGUUAGCAGGUUUCACCCUCAGAGACCACCAGGGGUUCAUGUUGAGGCAUUUUCAGUUUUUUUUUUUUUUUUUUGCCAUAGACACUGUCAGCACAAUCUGCAGUUACACUAACAAAAAUGCUGCAAAAAACAAAGAAUUAUGGAAAAAUUACACAUGGACUAACAUAGAGGAGGAUCUACACAAGUUUUUUACAUCAUGUUUUACAUCAUGCAUCAUUUACAUCAUGUUUUUUUGUAGUGGCAUAAAUAAAAAGUGACAUUUGUGAGACUAUACAGUGUUUUGUAAAUAAUUUUACAAAGAACGCCUGGGCCAUUGCCUGCAUUUUGAUGUAAAUAGAGGUAAAUCACUAUGUUCUUUGUUUAAAAUUUGCAUAUGUUUUGAAGUUUACAAUUUUUAUUUGAAGUUUAAGUUUUAAAAACAGUUCAUCACACAUAUUUGUGGUUUUCACAGUAAAAAUGUUACUUUUUUCCACUCGGAUUUUAUGUUUUGUGUGUGAAUUUGGGUCCAUUGUGUAAAUUCAGUAUGUCAACAUGAUAAAAUAACUGUAAAUUCGCACAGGUGAGGUUGUGCUGAAAAAAAUGAUACCAGGCAAGGCAUGUGAUUGUCAAAUUUUGUGUCAAUAUGACAAAGCGUAUAGGCGUGAAUCUCAACAAUAUGUAUUUUCACCUUAGGGGACAAGAAAAAAUGGACUUUUUUCUCCUGCCAUGGGGGGGCGCUCUUUUGGGGAGUAAAAAUUCCUUCACAAAUGUGUUGAUGGCUGGACAUUGCAUCAUCCUAGAAAACUUGGAGGCCAGUGAGGACAAAAAUAAAAAGUUAUAAGACUUUUAAAUAUGUGGAUUUUAGUGUUAUCUUUGGCGCCCCCUAGAACCUAAACCUUGGGGUGCAGCGUCAUGAUUUUGAUAACUUUUAAUGGCCACGGGGUGUAGAUUGGCCUGAGCAAAUGUGGUGCCGGUGGAACGAAAGCCUUCGGAGGAGUUAGCCACAUUCCAAUGUGUGCGGAUCGGCAAAAAAUGCGGAAUAACCCUUUAACCGUACAUUUGACAGAUACGCGCGCAUUGACUUUUUCGUAGAUCUUAUUUAGUUACAUGUGUGUGUCAAUUUUUGUGUCAUUUUGACAAAGCGUAUAGGCGUGACACUCAACAAUGUGUAUUUUCACCUUAGGGGACAAGAAAAAAUUGACUUUUUUCUCCUGCCAUGGGGGGGCGCUCUUUUGGGGAGUAAAAAUUCCUUCACAAAUGUGUUGAUGGCUGGACAUUGCAUCAUCCUAGAAAACUUGGAGGCCAGUGAGGACAAAAAUAAAAAGUUAUAAGACUUUUAAAUAUGUGGAUUUUAGUGUUAUCUUUGGCGCCCCCUAGAACCUAAACCUUGGGGUGCAGCGUCAUGAUUUUGAUAACUUUUAAUGGCCACGGGGUGUAGAUUGGCCUGAGCAAAUGUGGUGCCGGUGGAACGAAAGCCUUCGGAGGAGUUAGCGAAAUUCCAAUGUGUGCGGAUCGGCAAAAAAUGCGAAAUAACCCUUUAACCGUACAUUUGACAGAUACGGCCGCACUGACUUUUUUGUAGAUCUUAUUGAGAUACAUAUGUGUGUCAAUUUUUGUGUCAAUAUGACAAAGCGUACAGGCGUGACAGUCAAUAGUGUGAAUUUCCACCUUAGGGGGCGCUAUGGAGCCAUUUUGCAUUUUAUUGUUUGGGCGACUUCAGAAUAUCGAAUUUUUCACCAGGCCCGGUCGUCCUGCCAAAUUUCAUGAGUUUUCGCCAGUGGGAAGUGGGCCAUUUUCCAGUUCAAAGGGGAGGAAAAAGAAGAAAGAAAGAAAGAACUAGGGCCCCGUUGGGGCACUGGCGGGCCCGAGCCGCGUUGCGCCGCCCCCAGUGCGACCGCCUCCCCCUCCCGAUCGCGUCACACUCAAGGUCCAAAGAUGGUGUGCGCACUUGUCUGUGGUCAUUUCCCAUUAUAAUGAAUGGGAGGCGCAGUUUCUACCAAAACACUCGCUGCAGACAAACUACAUGUCCUAUUUGAAAAAAGUCUGGACCAUGAGUGAGGGCACAAACACAGCUAGGAUAUAUCCAAACGGCAAGUUGCUCCUCGUUACGGUGUUGCCGGGAGAGCGAUGCGAUUGAGCCAUUGAGUGAUGGGCAGGAAAAACUUGACUGUUUCUCCUGCCAUGGGGGAUGGGGGAUGGGAGGGGGGGGAAAGGGAUGUGGAUUCUUUUAAGAAUGUGGAUAUUUGGGUCAUCUUUGGCGCCCCCUAGAACGUAAACCGUGGGGUGCAGCGUCAUGAUUUUUAAAACUUUGAAUGGCCAUGGGGUGUAGAUUGGCCUGAGCAAAUUUGGUGUCAGUGGGACGAAAGCCUUAGGAGGAGUUAGCCACAUUCCAAUGUGUGCUAAUCAGCAAAAAAUGCAAAAUAGCCCUUUAACCGUACAUUUUACAGAUACGCGCGCAUUGACUUUUUCGUAGAUCUUAUUGAGAUACAUGUGUGUGUCAAAUUUUGUGUCAAUAUGACAAAGCAUACAGGUAUGACAGUCAACAAUGUGUAUUUUCACCUUAUGGGACAAGAAAAAAUGGACUUUUUUCUCCUGCCAUGGGGGGGCGCUCUUUUAGGGAGUAAAAAUUCCUUCACAAAUGUGUUGAUGGCUGGACAUUGCAUCAUCCUAGAAAACUUGGAGGCCAGAGAGGACAAAAAUAAAAAGUUAUAAGACUUUUAAAUAUGUGGAUUUUAGGGUUAUCUUUGGCGCCCCCUAGAACCUAAACCGUGGGGUGCAGCGUCAUGAUUUGAAUAACUUUUAAUGGCCAUGGGGUGUAGAUUGGCCUGAGCAAAUGUGGUGCCGGUGGAACGAAAGCCUUCGGAGGAGUUAGCGAAAUUCCAAUGUGUGCGGAUCGGCAAAAAAUGCGCAAUAACCCUUUAACCGUACAUUUGACAGAUACGCCCGCACUGACUUUUUUGUAGAUCUUAUUGAGAUACAUGUGUGUGUCAAUUUUUGUGUAAUUUUGACAAAGCGUACAGGCGUGACAGUCAAUAGUGUGAAUUUUCACCUUAUGGAACAAGAAAAAAUGGACUUUUUUCUCCUGCCAUGGGGGGGCGCUCUUUUGGGGAGUAAAAAUUCCUUCACAAAUGUGUUGAUGGCUGGACAUUGCAUCAUCCUAGAAAACUUGGAGGCCAGUGAGGGCAAAAAUAAAAAGUUAUAAGACUUUGAAAUAUGUGGAUUUUAGGGUUAUCUUUGGCGCCCCCUAGAACAUAAACCGUGGGGUGCAGCGUCAUGAUUUGAAUAACUUUUAAUGGCCAUGGGGUGUAGAUUGGCCUGAGCAAAUGUGGUGCCGGUGGAACGAAAGCCUUCGGAGGAGUUAGCGAAAUUCCAAUGUGUGCGGAUCGGCAAAAAAUGCGAAAUAACCCUUUAACCGUACAUUUGACAGAUACGCCCGCACUGACUUUUUUGUAGAUCUUAUUGAGAUACAUGUGUGUGUCAAUUUUUGUGUCAUUUUGACAAAGCGUACAGGCGUCAGGUGAAUUUUUCACCUUAGGGGGCGCUAUGGAGCCAUUUUGCAUUGUAUUGUUUGGGCGACUUCAGAAUAUCAAAUUUUUCACCAGGCCCGGUCGUCCUGCCAAAUUUCAUGAGUUUUCGCCAGUGGGAAGUGGGCCAUUUUCCAGUUCAAAGGGGAGGAAAAAUAAUAAUAACAAAAGAAGGAAACAUGCAGGAACAAGAGGGCUCUCGCAGCUGCUUAGCAGCUACGCUCGGGCCCUAACUAGGACCCCGUUGGGGCACUGGCGGGCCCGAGCCGUGUCGCGUCCCCCCCAACGUGCUGCCUCCCCGUCCCAUUUGUGUCCUCUGGCCAUCGCCCUCUCUGGUAACGCCCAUCACUGCAAAGACCCUUUUCCUUCAUCGGCGUUUGCUGUUCUUCCUGCCAGUGCGUGUUGCUUUCACUUACACUUGCCACAGCCAGCCUCGUGAGUGCCUAGCCUAUUGGAUAUCACUGUCACCUACACAGGACAGUCAUUACCUUUCUAUUAAUACUUUGUGUUUUAAUUUCACAUUAAUUUCCAUAUUGUAUAAACGACUGGAAAAAACUUGAGCCCCUGCCCCUGUAUAAUCAUGUGCAUGUCUCUGUUCUAGCUCCAAGGUGAAUCUUCACUGCUCAUGUUCUCCUCAGAAGCAGUCACCUCACUCCCCUCAGGUUACUGUACACAUGCACCAACUGCCUGCUUCAGGUUUGGAUGGAGCUUCAUGGUUGUCUUUUGGAGAAAUGACCAGUCAAGUUGUGUUUGAAAUUUGAUUUUUUUCAGGGGCAAAAGGAGCCUCUGCAUUCUUGUCAAAUAUGUAAAUAGCAUGUUUUUGCAGGUGCUAAAAACCAGACUCUGAGUGUGUGUGUGUGUGUGUGUGUGUGUGUGUGUGUGUGUGUAUGUGUGUGUGUGUGUCUGUGUGUGCGUUCAAGUCACAUGACAUAUUUAACCGGAUGUAGCUGCAAGACGGAGCCUCGUUGACUCUCCGUUUCAACUUAUCUCAAAAGUGAGGACCUCAACCUAUAUACCAGUUUUUAAAUUGUGUUGAUAGGCCAAAUAAAACCAGAGUUAUGAUAAAUUAUGUCCGCGAUACUUUUUUUCUGCUUAUUUUGAUCACGUUCGGCGCUCGAUCGCGCUGUAUGAGACAGGAAAACAUAGCAUGCAGACAUUAGCGACAGGUCUUACAGGCGGAAAAGGCUUGCCAAAAGAAAAAAAAAACACACCACAACAUCUCUCCUAUUGGUGGAAAACUUCACCACAACAACCAAUCCAAAAUUAUAUGGUGACUGAUUGACAAGGGGCGGGCGCUUACGUUCUUCCUGCAACAUGAGAAGGGAGGGAGGGACUCUCAGCAGGGAUGCAGUCUGGGACACGUAGUUGCAAACCUAGCGACUUUGUUGUUAGAUUCAAUGACUUUUCAGACCCCCUAACGACUUUUUUUUAGAAAGAAAGGGACUUUUAUCGACUUCUUCUGGAGUUUAGAGACUCUGACAUGAAGCAGGCUUUCCUUACUGAGGAGUUAGCAACGCUGCUAAGGGUGCAGAGCCACACAUGCGCUCAGAGCUCUGCAUGGGAGACUGAAGCUGACAGAGCUGCAGCAGUUAGCAGGUUUCACCCUCAGAGACCACCAGGGGUUCAUGUUGAGGCAUUUUAAAUUUUUAUUUUUUUUUGUGCCAUAGACACUGUCAGCACAAUCUGCAGUUACACUAACAAAAAUGCUGCAAAAAACAAAGAAUUAUGGAAAAAUUACACAUGGACUGACAUAGAGGAGGAUCUACACAAGUUUUUUACAUCAUGUUUUACAUCAUGCAUCAUUUACAUCAUGUUUUUUUGUAGUGGCAUAAAUAAAAAGUGACAUUUGUGAGACUAUACAGUGUUUUGUAAAUAAUUUUACAAAGAACGCCUGGGCCAUUGCCUGCAUUUUGAUGUAAAUAGAGGUAAAUCACUAUGUUCUUUGUUAAAAAUUUGCAUAUGUUUUGAAGUUUACAAUUUUUAUUUGAAGUUUAAGUUUUAAAAACAGUUCAUCACACAUAUUUGUGGUUUUCACAGUAAAAAUGUUACUUUUUUCCACUUGGAUUUUAUGUUUUGUGUUUGAAUUUGGGUCCAUUGUGUAAAUUCAGUAUGUCAACAUGAUAAAAUAACUGUAAAUUCGCACAGGUGAGGUUGUGCUGAAAAAAAUGAUACCAGGCAAGGCACGUGAUUGUCAAAUUUUGUGUCAAUAUGACAAAGCGUAUAGGCGUGAAUCUCAACAAUAUGUAUUUUCACCUUAGGGGACAAGAAAAAAUUGACUUUUUUUCCCUGCCAUGGGGGGGCGCUCUUUUGGGGAGUAAAAAUUCCUUCACAAAUGUGUUGAUGGCUGGACAUUGCAUCAUCCUAGAAAACUUGGAGGCCAGUGAGGACAAAAAUAAAAAGUUAUAAGACUUUUAAAUAUGUGGAUUUUAGGGUUAUCUUUGGCGCCCCCUAGAACCUAAACCGUGGGGUGCAGUGUCAUGAUUUGAAUAACUUUUAAUGGCCAUGGGGUGUAGAUUGGCCUGAGCAAAUGUGGUGCCGGUGGAACGAAAGCCUUAGGAGGAGUUAGCCACAUUCCAAUGUGUGCGGAUCGGCAAAAAAUGCGGAAUAACCCUUUAACCGUACAUUUGACAGAUACGCGCGCAUUGACUUUUUCGUAGAUCUUAUUGAGUUACAUGUGUGUGUCAAUUUUUGUGUCAUUUUGACAAAGCGUAUAGGCGUGACACUCAACAAUGUGUAUUUUCACCUUAGGGGACAAGAAAAAAUGGACUUUUUUCUCCUGCCAUGGGGGGCGCUCUUUUGGGGAGUAAAAAUUCCUUCACAAAUGUGUUGAUGGCUGGACAUUGCAUCAUCCUAGAAAACUUGGGGGCCAGUGAGGGCAAAAAUAAAAAGUUAUAAGACUUUUAAAUAUGUGGAUCUUAGGGUUAUCUUUGGCGCCCCCUAGAACCUAAACCGUGGGGUACAGCAUCAUGAUUUGAAUAACUUUUAAUGGCCAUGGGGUGUAGAUUGGCCUGAGCAAAUGUGGUGCCGGUGGAACGAAAGCCUUCGGAGGAGUUAGCGAAAUUGCAAUGUGUGCGGAUCGGCAAAAAAUGCGAAAUAACCCUUUAACCGUACAUUUGACAGAUACGCCCGCACUGACUUUUUUGUAGAUCUUAUUGAGAUACAUGUGUGUGUCAAUUUUUGUGUCAUUUUGACAAAGCGUACAGGCGUGACAGUCAAUAGUGUGAAUUUUCACCUUAGGGGGCGCUAUGGAGCCAUUUUGCAUUUUCUUGUUUGGGCGACUUCGGAAUAUCAAAUUUUUCACCAGGCCCGGUCGUCCUGCCAAAUUUCAUGAGUUUUCGCCAGUGGGAAGUGGGCCAUUUUCCAGUUCAAAGGGGAGGAAAAAUAAUAAUAAUAACAAACUAGGACCCCGUUGGGGCACUGGCGGGCCCGAGCCGUGUCGCGUCCCCCCCCCAAACGUGCUGCCUCCCCGUCCCAUUUGUGUCCUCUGGCCAUCGCCCUCUCUGGUAACGCCCAUCACUGCAAAGACCCUUUUCCUUCAUCGGCGUUUGCUGUUCUUCUUGCCAGUGCGUGUUGCUUUCACUUACACUUGCCACAGCCAGCCUCGUGAGUGCCUAGCCUAUUGGAUAUCACUGUCACCUACACAGGACAGUCAUUACCUUUCUAUUAAUACUUUGUGUUUUAAUUUCACAUUAAUUUCCAUAUUGUAUAAACGACUGGAAAAAACUUGAGCCCCUGCCCCUGUAUAAUCAUGUGCAUGUCUCUGUUCUAGCUCCAAGGUGAAUCUUCACAGCUCAUGUUCUCCUCAGAAGCACUCACCUCACUCCCCUCAGGUUACUGUACACAUGCACCAACUGCCUGCUUCAGGUUUGGAUGGAGCUUCAUGGUUGUCUUUUGGAGAAAUGACCAGUCAAGUUGUGUUUGAAAUUUGAUUUUUUUCAGGGGCAAAAGGAGCCUCUGCAUUCUUGUCAAAUAUGUAAAUAGCAUGUUUUUGCAGGUGCUAAAAACCAGACUCUGAGUGUGUGUGUGUGUGUGUGUGUGCGUGUGUGUGUGCGUGUGUGUGUGUCUGUGUGUGCGUUCAAGUCACAUGACAUAUUUAACCGGAUGUAGCUGCAAGACGGAGCCUCGUUGACUCUCCGUUUCAACUUAUCUCAAAAGUGAGGACCUCAACCUAUAUACCAGUUUUUAAAUUGUGUUGAUAGGCCAAAUAAAACCAGAGUUAUGAUAAAUUAUGUCCGCGAUACUUUUUUUCUGCUUAUUUUGAUCACGUUCGGCGCUCGAUCGCGCUGUAUGAGACAGGAAUACAUAGCAUGCAGACAUUAGCGACAGGUCUUACAGGCGGAAAAGGCUUGCCAAAAGAAAAAAAAAACACACCACAACAUCUCUCCUAUUGGUGGAAAACUUCACCACAACAACCAAUCCAAAAUUAUAUGGUGACUGAUUGACAAGGGGCGGGCGCUUACGUUCUUCCUGCAACAUGAGAAGCGAGGGAGGGACUCUCAGCAGGGAUGCAGUCUGGGACACGUAGUUGCAAACCUAGCGACUUUGUUGUUAGAUUCAAUGACUUUUCAGACCCCCUAACGACUUUUUUUUAGAAAGAAAGGGACUUUUAUCGACUUCUUCUGGAGUUUAGAGACUCUGACAUGAAGCAGGCUUUCCUUACUGAGGAGUUAGCAACGCUGCUAAGGGUGCAGAGCCACACAUGCGCUCAGAGCUCUGCAUGGGAGACUGAAGCUGACAGAGCUGCAGCAGUUAGCAGGUUUCACCCUCAGAGACCACCAGGGGUUCAUGUUGAGGCAUUUUAAAUUUUUAUUUUUUUUUGUGCCAUAGACACUGUCAGCACAAUCUGCAGUUACACUAACAAAAAUGCUGCAAAAAACAAAGAAUUAUGGAAAAAUUACACAUGGACUGACAUAGAGGAGGAUCUACACAAGUUUUUUACAUCAUGUUUUACAUCAUGCAUCAUUUACAUCAUGUUUUUUUGUAGUGGCAUAAAUAAAAAGUGACAUUUGUGAGACUAUACAGUGUUUUGUAAAUAAUUUUACAAAGAACGCCUGGGCCAUUGCCUGCAUUUUGAUGUAAAUAGAGGUAAAUCACUAUGUUCUUUGUUAAAAAUUUGCAUAUGUUUUGAAGUUUACAAUUUUUAUUUGAAGUUUAAGUUUUAAAAACAGUUCAUCACACAUAUUUGUGGUUUUCACAGUAAAAAUGUUACUUUUUUCCACUUGGAUUUUAUGUUUUGUGUUUGAAUUUGGGUCCAUUGUGUAAAUUCAGUAUGUCAACAUGAUAAAAUAACUGUAAAUUCGCACAGGUGAGGUUGUGCUGAAAAAAAUGAUACCAGGCAAGGCACGUGAUUGUCAAAUUUUGUGUCAAUAUGACAAAGCGUAUAGGCGUGAAUCUCAACAAUAUGUAUUUUCACCUUAGGGGACAAGAAAAAAUUGACUUUUUUUCCCUGCCAUGGGGGGGCGCUCUUUUGGGGAGUAAAAAUUCCUUCACAAAUGUGUUGAUGGCUGGACAUUGCAUCAUCCUAGAAAACUUGGAGGCCAGUGAGGACAAAAAUAAAAAGUUAUAAGACUUUUAAAUAUGUGGAUUUUAGGGUUAUCUUUGGCGCCCCCUAGAACCUAAACCGUGGGGUGCAGUGUCAUGAUUUGAAUAACUUUUAAUGGCCAUGGGGUGUAGAUUGGCCUGAGCAAAUGUGGUGCCGGUGGAACGAAAGCCUUAGGAGGAGUUAGCCACAUUCCAAUGUGUGCGGAUCGGCAAAAAAUGCGGAAUAACCCUUUAACCGUACAUUUGACAGAUACGCGCGCAUUGACUUUUUCGUAGAUCUUAUUGAGUUACAUGUGUGUGUCAAUUUUUGUGUCAUUUUGACAAAGCGUAUAGGCGUGACACUCAACAAUGUGUAUUUUCACCUUAGGGGACAAGAAAAAAUGGACUUUUUUCUCCUGCCAUGGGGGGGCGCUCUUUUGGGGAGUAAAAAUUCCUUCACAAAUGUGUUGAUGGCUGGACAUUGCAUCAUCCUAGAAAACUUGGGGGCCAGUGAGGGCAAAAAUAAAAAGUUAUAAGACUUUUAAAUAUGUGGAUCUUAGGGUUAUCUUUGGCGCCCCCUAGAACCUAAACCGUGGGGUACAGCAUCAUGAUUUGAAUAACUUUUAAUGGCCAUGGGGUGUAGAUUGGCCUGAGCAAAUGUGGUGCCGGUGGAACGAAAGCCUUCGGAGGAGUUAGCGAAAUUCCAAUGUGUGCGGAUCGGCAAAAAAUGCGAAAUAACCCUUUAACCGUACAUUUGACAGAUACGCCCGCACUGACUUUUUUGUAGAUCUUAUUGAGAUACAUGUGUGUGUCAAUUUUUGUGUCAUUUUGACAAAGCGUACAGGCGUGACAGUCAAUAGUGUGAAUUUUCACCUUAGGGGGCGCUAUGGAGCCAUUUUGCAUUUUCUUGUUUGGGCGACUUCGGAAUAUCAAAUUUUUCACCAGGCCCGGUCGUCCUGCCAAAUUUCAUGAGUUUUCGCCAGUGGGAAGUGGGCCAUUUUCCAGUUCAAAGGGGAGGAAAAAUAAUAAUAAUAACAAACUAGGACCCCGUUGGGGCACUGGCGGGCCCGAGCUGUGUCGCGUCCCCCCCCCAACGCGCUGCCUCCCCGUCCCAUUUGUGUCCUCUGGCCAUCGCCCUCUUUGGUAACGCCCAUCACUGCAAAGACCCUUUUCCUUCAUCGGCGUUUGCUGUUCUUCCUGCCAGUGCGUGUUGCUUUCACUUACACUUGCCACAGCCAGCCUCGUGAGUGCCUAGCCUAUUGGAUAUCACUGUCACCUACACAGGACAGUCAUUACCUUUCUAUUAAUACUUUGUUUUUUAAUUUCACAUUAAUUUCCAAAUUGUAUAAACGACUGGAAAAAACUUGAGCCCCUGCCCCUGUAUAAUCAUGUGCACGUCUCUGUUCUAGCUCUAAGGUAAAUCUUCACUGCUCAUGUUCUCCUCAGAAGAUGUCACCUCACUCCCCUCAGGUUACUGUACACAUGCACCAACUGCCUGCUUCAGGUUUGGAUGGAGCUUCAUGGUUGUCUUUUGGAGAAAUGACCAGUCAAGUUGUGUUUGAAAUUUGAUUUUUUUCAGGGGCAAAAGGAGCCUCUGCAUUCUUGUCAAAUAUGUAAAUAGCAUGUUUUUGCAGGUGCUACAAACCAGACUCUGAGUGUGUGUGUGUGCGUGUGUGUGUGUGUCUGUGUGUGUGUGUGUAUGUGCGUUCAAGUCACAUGACAUAUUUAACCGGAUGUAGCUGCAAGACGGAGCCUCGUUGACUCUCCGUUUCAAUUUAUCUCAAAAGUGAGGACCUCAACCUAUAUACCAGUUUUUAAAUUGUGUUGAUAGGCCAAAUAAAACCAGAGUUAUGAUAAAUUAUGUCCGCGAUACUUGUUUUCUGCUUAUUUUGAUCACGUUCGGCGCUCGAUCGCGCUGUAUGAGACAGGAAAACAUAGCAUGCAGACAUUAGCGACAGGUCUUACAGGCGGAAAAGGCUUGCCAAAGGAAAAAAAAUACACACCACAACAUCUCUCCUAUUGGUGGAAAACUUCACCACAACAACCAAUCCAAAAUUAUAUGGUGACUGAUUGACAAGGGGCGGGAACUUACGUUCUUCCUGCAAUAUGAGAAGGGAGGGAGGGACUCUCAGCAGGGAUGCAGUCUGGGACACGUAGUUGCAAACCUAGCGACUUUGUUGUUAGAUUCAAUGACUUUUCAGACCCCCUAACGACUUUUUUUUAGAAAGAAAGUGACUUUUAUCGACUUCUUCUGGAGUUUAGAGACUCUGACAUGAAGCAGGCUUUCCUUACUGAGGAGUUAGCAACGCUGCUAAGGGUGCAGAGCCACACAUGCGCUCCGAGCUCUGCAUGGGAGACUGAAGCUGACAGAGCUGCAGCAGUUAGCAGGUUUCACCCUCAGAGACCACCAGGGGUUCAUGUUGAGGCAUUUUCAGUUUUUUUUUUUUUUUUUUGCCAUAGACACUGUCAGCACAAUCUGCAGUUACACUAACAAAAAUGCUGCAAAAAACAAAGAAUUAUGGAAAAAUUACACAUGGACUAACAUAGAGGAGGAUCUACACAAGUUUUUUACAUCAUGUUUUACAUCAUGCAUCAUUUACAUCAUGUUUUUUUGUAGUGGCAUAAAUAAAAAGUGACAUUUGUGAGACUAUACAGUGUUUUGUAAAUAAUUUUACAAAGAACACCUGGGCCAUUGCCUGCAUUUUGAUGUCAAUAGAGGUAAAUUACUAUGUUCUUUGUUAAAAAUUUGCAUAUGUUUUGAAGUUUACAAUUUUUAUUUGAAGUUUAAGUUUUAAAAACAGUUCAUCACACAUAUUUGUGGUUUAAUUUCACAUUAAUUUCCAUAUUGUAUAAAUGACUGGAAAAAACUUGAGCCCCUGCCCCUGUAUAAUCAUGUGCACGUCCCUGUUCUAGCUCCAAGGUGAAUCUUCACUGCUCAUGUUCUCCUCAGAAAUAGUCACCUCACUCCCCUCAGGUUACUGUACACAUGCACCAACUAUCUGCUUCAGGUUUGAAAUGGAGCUUCAUGGUUGUCUUUUGGAGAAAUGAACAGUCAAGUUGUGUUUGAAAUUUGAUUUUUUUCAGGGGCAAAAGGAAGCCUCUGCAUUCUUGUCAAAUAUGUAAACAGCAUGUUUUUGCAGGUGCUAAAAAACAGACUCUGAGUGUGUGUGUGUGUGUGUGUGUGUGUGUGUGUGUGUGUGUGUGUGUGUGUGUGUUGGCGUGUGUGUAUAUGUGUGUGUAUCCUGCAGUACUCUGUACUCCUGCAGUGGCCAAAAAGACUUUUAAGAAUGUGGAUUUUUGGGUCAUCUUUGGCGCCCCCUAGAACUGCAGUACUCUGUACUCCUGCAGUGGCCAAAAUGACUUUUAAGAAUGUGGAUUUUUGGGUCAUCUUUGGCGCCCCCUAGAACGUAAACCGUGGGGUGCAGCGUCAUGAUUUUUACAACUUUGAAUGGGCAUGGGGUGUAGAUUGCCCUGAGCAAAUUUGGUAUCGGUGGGACGAAAGCCUUAGGAGGAGAUAGCCACAUUCCAAUGUGUCCUAAUCGGCAAAAAAUGCAAAAUAGCCCUUUAACCGUACAUUAUACAGAUACGCGCUCUUUGACUUUUUCGUAGAUCUAAUUGAGAUACACAUGAUUGUCAAUUUUUGUGUCAAUAUGACAAAGCGUUCAGGCGUGACACUCAACAAUGUGUAUUUUUAUGUAAGGGGACAAGAAAAAAUUGACUUUUUUCUCCUACCAUGGGGGGGCGCUCUUUUGGGGAGUAAAAAUUCCUUCACAAAUGUGUUGAUGGCUGGACAUUGCAUCAUCCUAGAAAACUUGGAGGCCAGUGAGGACAAAAAUAAAAAGUUAUAAAACAUUUAAGAAUGUGGAUUUUUGGGUUAUUUUUGGCGCCCCCUAGAACCUAAACCAUGGGGUGCAGCAUCAUGAUUUGAAUAACUUUUAAUGGCCAUGGGGUGUAGAUUGGCCUGAGCAAAUGUGGUGCCGGUGGAACGAAAGCCUUCGGAGGAGUUAGCGAAAUUCCAAUGUGUGCGUAUCGGCAAAAAAUGCGGAAUAACCCUUUAACUGUACAUUUGACAGAUACGCGCGCAUGGACUUUUUUGUAGAUCUUAUUGAGUUACAUGUGUGUGUCAAUUUUUGUGUCAUUUUGACAAAGCGUAUAGGCGUGACACUCAACAAUGUGUAUUUUCACCUUAGGGGACAAGAAAAAAUGGAGUUUUUUCUCCUGCCAUGGGGGGGCGCUCUUUUGGGGAGUAAAAAUUCCUUCACAAAUGUGUUGAUGGCUGGACAUUGCAUCAUCCUAGAAAACUUGGAGGCCAGUGAGGACAAAAAUAAAAAGUUAUAAGACUUUUAAAUAUGUGGAUUUUAGUGUUAUCUUUGGCGCCCCCUAGAACCUAAACCUUGGGGUGCAGCGUCAUGAUUUUGAUAACUUUUAAUGGCCACGGGGUGUAGAUUGGCCUGAGCAAAUGUGGUGCCGGUGGAACGAAAGCCUUCGGAGGAGUUAGCGAAAUUCCAAUGUGUGCGGAUCGGCAAAAAAUGCGAAAUAACCCUUUAACCGUAAUUUUGACAGAUACGGCCGCACUGACUUUUUUGUAGAUCUUAUUGAGAUACAUAUGUGUGUCAAUUUUUGUGUCAAUAUGACAAAGCGUACAGGCGUGACAGUCAAUAGUGUGAAUUUCCACCUUAGGGGGCGCUAUGGAGCCAUUUUGCAUUUUAUUGUUUGGGCGACUUCAGAAUAUCGAAUUUUUCACCAGGCCCGGUCGUCCUGCCAAAUUUCAUGAGUUUUCGCCAGUGGGAAGUGGGCCAUUUUCCAGUUCAAAGGGGAGGAAAAAGAAGAAAGAAAGAACUAGGACCCCGUUGGGGCACUGGCGGGCCCGAGCCGUGUCGCGUCUCCCCCCCCCGCCCCCCAACGUGCUGCCUCCCCGUCCCAUUUGUGUCCUCUGGCCAUCGCCCUCUCUGUUAACGCCCAUCACUGCAAAGACCCUUUCCCUUCAUCGGCGUUUGCUGUUCUUCCUGCCAGUGCGUGUUGCUUUCACUUACACUUGCCACAGCCAGCCUCGUGAGUGCCUAGCCUAUUGGAUAUCACUGUCACCUACACAGGACAGUCAUUACCUUUCUAUUAAUACUUUGUGUUUUAAUUUCACAUUAAUUUCCAUAUUGUAUAAACGACUGGAAAAAACUUGAGCCCCUGCCCCUGUAUAAUCAUGUGCAUGUCUCUGUUCUAGCUCCAAGGUGAAUCUUCACUGCUCAUGUUCUCCUCAGAAGCACUCACCUCACUCCCCUCAGGUUACUGUACACAUGCACCAACUGCCUGCUUCAGGUUUGGAUGGAGCUUCAUGGUUGUCUUUUGGAGAAAUGACCAGUCAAGUUGUGUUUGAAAUUUGAUUUUUUUCAGGGGCAAAAGGAGCCUCUGCAUUCUUGUCAAAUAUGUAAAUAGCAUGUUUUUGCAGGUGCUAAAAACCAGACUCUGAGUGUGUGUGUGUGUGUGUGUGUGUGUGUGUGUGUGUGUGUGUGUGUGUGUGUGUGUGUGUGUGUGUGUGCGUGUGUGUGUCUGUGUGUGCGUUCAAGUCACAUGACAUAUUUAACCGGAUGUAGCUGCAAGACGGAGCCUCGUUGACUCUCCGUUUCAACUUAUCUCAAAAGUGAGGACCUCAACCUAUAUACCAGUUUUUAAAUUGUGUUGAUAGGCCAAAUAAAACCAGAGUUAUGAUAAAUUAUGUCCGCGAUACUUUUUUUCUGCUUAUUUUGAUCACGUUCGGCGCUCGAUCGCGCUGUAUGAGACAGGAAAACAUAGCAUGCAGACAUUAGCGACAGCUCUUACAGGCGGAAAAGGCUUGCCAAAAGAAAAAAAAAACACACCACAACAUCUCUCCUAUUGGUGGAAAACUUCACCACAACAACCAAUCCAAAAUUAUAUGGUGACUGAUUGACAAGGGGCGGGCGCUUACGUUCUUCCUGCAACAUGAGAAGGGAGGGAGGGACUCUCAGCACGGAUGCAGUCUGGGACACGUAGUUGCAAACCUAGCGACUUUGUUGUUAGAUUCAAUGACUUUUCAGACCCCCUAACUACUUUUUUUUUGAAACAAAGGGACUUUUAUCGACUUCUUCUGGAGUUUAGAGACUCUGACAUGAAGCAGGCUUUCCUUACUGAGGAGUUAGCAACGCUGCUAAGGGUGCAGAGCCACACAUGCGCUCCGAGCUCUGCAUGGGAGACUGAAGCUGACAGAGCUGCAGCAGUUAGCAGGUUUCACCCUCAGAGACCACCAGGGGUUCAUGUUGAGGCAUUUUAAAUUUUUUUUUUUUUUUGUGCCAUAGACACUGUCAGCACAAUCUGCAGUUACACUAACAAAAAUGCUGCAAAAAACAAAGAAUUAUGGAAAAAUUACACAUGGACUGACAUAGAGGAGGAUCUACACAAGUUUUUUACAUCAUGUUUUACAUCAUGCAUCAUUUACAUCAUGUUUUUUUGUAGUGGCAUAAAUAAAAAGUGACAUUUGUGAGACUAUACAGUGUUUUGUAAAUAAUUUUACAAAGAACGCCUGGGCCAUUGCCUGCAUUUUGAUGUAAAUAGAGGUAAAUCACUAUGUUCUUUGUUAAAAAUUUGCAUAUGUUUUGAAGUUUACAAUUUUUAUUUGAAGUUUAAGUUUUAAAAACAGUUCAUCACACAUAUUUGUGGUUUUCACAGUAAAAAUGUUACUUUUUUCCACUCGGAUUUUAUGUUUUGUGUGUGAAUUUGGGUCCAUUGUGUAAAUUCAGUAUGUCAACAUGAUAAAAUAACUGUAAAUUCGCACAGGUGAGGUUGUGCUGAAAAAAAUGAUACCAGGCAAGGCACGUGAUUGUCAAAUCUUGUGUCAAUAUGACAAAGCGUAUAGGCGUGAAUCUCAACAAUAUGUAUUUUCACCUUAGGGGACAAGAAAAAAUGGACUUUUUUCUCCUGCCAUGGGGGGGCGCUCUUUUGGGGAGUAAAAAUUCCUUCACAAAUGUGUUGAUGGCUGGACAUUGCAUCAUCCUAGAAAACUUGGAGGCCAGUGAGGACAAAAAUAAAAAGUUAUAAGACUUUGAAAUAUGUGGAUUUUAGGGUUAUUUUUGGCGCCCCCUAGAACCUAAACCAUGGGGUGCAGCGUCAUGAUUUGAAUAACUUUUAAUGGCCAUGGGGUGUAGAUUGGCCUGAGCAAAUGUGGUGCCGGUGGAACGAAAGCCUUCGGAGGAGUUAGCCACAUUCCAAUGUGUGCGUAUCGGCAAAAAAUGCGGAAUAACCCUUUAACCGUACAUUUGACAGAUACGCGCUCAUAGACUUUUUUGUAGAUCUUAUUGAGAUACAUGUGUGUGUCAAUUUUUGUGUCAUUUUGCCAAAGCGUAAAGGCGUGAAUCUCAACAAUGUGUAUUUUCACCUUAGGGGACAAGAAAAAAUGGACUUUUUUCUCCUGCCAUGGGGGGCGCUCUUUUGGGGAGUAAAAAUUCCUUCACAAAUGUGUUGAUGGCUGGACAUUGCAUCAUCCUAGAAAACUUGGAGGCCAGUGAGGACAGAAAUAAAAAGUUAUAAGACUUUGAAAUAUGUGGAUUUUAGGGUUAUUUUUGGCGCCCCCUAGAACCUAAACCGUGGGGUGCAGCGUCAUGAUUUGAAUAACUUUUAAUGGCCAUGGGGUGUAGAUUGGCCUGAGCAAAUGUGGUGCCGGUGGAACGAAAGCCUUCGGAGGAGUUAGCGAAAUUCCAAUGUGUGCAGAUCUGCAAAAAAUGCAAAAUAACCCAUUAACCGUACAUUUGACAGAUACGCCCGCACUGACUUUUUUGUAGAUCUUAUUGAGAUACAUGUGUGUGUCAAUUUUUGUGUCAAUAUGACAAAGCGUACAGCCGUCAUGUGAAUUUUCACCUUAGGGGGCGCUAUGGAGCCAUUUUGCAUUUUAUUGUUUGGGCGACUUCGGAAUAUCAAAUUUUUCACCAGGCCCGGUCGUCCUGCCAAAUUUCAUGAGUUUUCGCCAGUGGGAAGUGGGCCAUUUUCCAGUUCAAAGGGGAGGAAAAAGAAAAAAGAAACAAAGAAAAACCACUUGGGGAAUAAUAGGGCUCUCGCAGCUGCUUAGCAGCUACGCUCGGGCCCUAACUAGGACCCCGUUGGGGCACUGGCGGGCCCGAGCUGUGUCGCGUCCCCCCCCCCAACGCGCUGCCUCCCCGUCCCAUUUGUGUCCUCUGGCCAUCGCCCUCUCUGGUAACGCCCAUCACUGCAAAGACCCUUUUCCUUCAUCGGCGUUUGCUGUUCUUCCUGCCAGUGCGUGUUGCUUUCACUUACACUUGCCACAGCCAGCCUCUUGAGUGCCUAGCCUAUUGGAUAUCACUGUCACCUACUCAGGACAGUCAUUACCUUUCUAUUAAUACUUUGUUUUUUAAUUUCACAUUAAUUUCCAUAUUGUAUAAACAACUGGAAAAAACUUGAGCCCCUGCCCCUGUAUAAUCAUGUGCACGUCUCUGUUCUAGCUGUAAGGUGAAUCUUCACUGCUCAUGUUCUCCUCAGAAGCACUCACCUCACUCCCCUCAGGUUACUGUACACAUGCACCAACUGCCUGCUUCAGGUUUGGAUGGAGCUUCAUGGUUGUCUUUUGGAGAAAUGACCAGUCAAGUUGUGUUUGAAAUUUGAUUUUUUUCAGGGGCAAAAGGAGCCUCUGCAUUCUUGUCAUAUAUGUAAAUAGCAUGUUUUUGCAGGUGCUAAAAACCAGACUCUGAGUGUGUGUGUGUGCGUGUGUCUGUGUGUGUGUGUGUGUGUGUGUGCGUUCAAGUCACAUGACAUAUUUAACCGGAUGUAGCUGCAAGACGGAGCCUCGUUGACUCCGUUUCAACUUAUCUCAAAAGUGAGGACCUCAACCUAUAUACCAGUUUUUAAAUUGUGUUGAUAGGCCAAAUAAAACCAGAGUUAUGAUAAAUUAUGUCCGCGAUACUUUUUUUCUGCUUAUUUUGAUCACGUUCGGCGCUCGAUCGCGCUGUAUGAGACAGGAAAACAUAGCAUGCAGACAUUAGCGACAGGUCUUACAGGCGGAAAAGGCUUGCCAAAGGAAAAAAAAAACACACCACAACAUCUCUCCUAUUGGUGGAAAACUUCACCACAACAACCAAUCCAAAAUUAUAUGGUGACUGAUUGACAAGGGGCGGGCGCUUACGUUCUUCCUGCAAUAUGAGAAGGGAGGGAGGGACUCUCAGCAGGGAUGCAGUCUGGGACACGUAGUUGCAAACCUAGCGACUUUGUUGUUAGAUUCAAUGACUUUUCAGACCCCCUAACGACUUUUUUUUUAGAAAGAAAGGGACUUUUAUCGACUUCUUCUGGAGUUUAGAGACUCUGACAUGAAGCAGGCUUUCCUUACUGAGGAGUUAGCAACGCUGCUAAGGGUGCAGAGCCACACAUGCGCUCCGAGCUCUGCAUGGGAGACUGAAGCUGACAGAGCUGCAGCAGUUAGCAGGUUUCACCCUCAGAGACCACCAGGGGUUCAUGUUGAGGCAUUUUCAGUUUUUUUUUUUUUUUUUGCCAUAGACACUGUCAGCACAAUCUGCAGUUACACUAACAAAAAUGCUGCAAAAAACAAAGAAUUAUGGAAAAAUUACACAUGGACUAACAUAGAGGAGGAUCUACACAAGUUUUUUACAUCAUGUUUUACAUCAUGCAUCAUUUACAUCAUGUUUUUUUGUAGUGGCAUAAAUAAAAAGUGACAUUUGUGAGACUAUACAGUGUUUUGUAAAUAAUUUUACAAAGAACACCUGGGCCAUUGCCUGCAUUUUUAUGUAAAUAGAGGUAAAUUACUAUGUUCUUUGUUAAAAAUUUGCAUAUGUUUUGAAGUUUACAAUUUUUAUUUGAAGUUUAAGUUUUAAAAACAGUUCAUCACACAUAUUUGUGGUUUUCACAGUAAAAACGUUACUUUUUUCCACUCGGAUUUUAUGUUUUGUGUGUGAAUUUGGGUCCAAUGUGUAAAUAUAGUAUGUCAAAAUGAUAAAAUAACUGUAAAUUGACACAGGUGAGGUUGUGCUGAAAAAAAUGAUACCAGGCAAGGCAAGGUAAAAAUUUUGUAAGAGGAAAUAUAAAGGUAAAAUCUAAAGUAGUCAAAAACGGCCAAUAGUGACUCACAGACUCCACAGACAAGUACCUUUGGCGCCACUCAGUGGGCAAAACUACUUUGUCUACUGUAAUGUAUAUUUGGGUCAUCUUUGGCGCCCCCUAAAACGUAAACCGUGGGGUGCAGCGUCAUGAUUUUUACAACUUUGAAUGGCCAUGGAGUGUAGAUUGGCCUGAGCAAAUUUGGUGUCAGUGGGACGAAAGCCUUAGGAGGAGUUAGCGAAAUUCCAAUGUGUGCGAAUCGGCAAAAAAUGCAAAAUAGCCCUUUUACCGUACAUUAUACAGAUACGCGCUCUUUGACUUUUUCGUAGAUCUAAUUGAGAUACACAUGAUUGUCAAUUUUUGUGUCAUUUUGCCAAAGCGUACAGGCGUGACAGUCAACAAUGUGUAUUUUCACCUUAGGGGACAAGAAAAAAUGGACUUUUUUCUCCUGCCAUGGGGGGCGCUCUUUUAGGGAGUAAAAAUUCCUUCACAAAUGUGUUGAUGGCUGGACAUUGCAUCAUCCUAGAAAACUUGGAGGCCAGUGAGGACAAAAAUAAAAAGUUAUAAGACUUUUAAAAAUGUGGAUUUUUGGGUUAUCUUUGGCGCCCCCUAGAACGUAAACCGUGGGGUGCAGCGUCAUGAUUUGAAUAACUUUUAAUGGCCAUGGGGUGUAGAUUGGCCUGACCAAACAUGGUGCCGGUGGAACGAAAGCCUUCGGAGGAGUUAGCGAAAUUCCAAUGUGUGCGAAUCGGCAAAAAAUGCGGAAUAACCCUUUAACCGUACAUUUGACAGAUACGCGCGCAUGGACUUUUUUGUAGAUCUUAUUGAGAUACAUGUGUGUGUCAAUUUUUGUGUCAUUUUGACAAAGCGUACAGGCGUGACACUCAACAAUGUGUAUUUUCACCUUAGGGGACAAGAAAAAAUGGACUUUUUUCUCCUUCCAUGGGGGGGCGCUCUUUUGGGGAGUAAAAAUUCCUUCACAAAUGUGUUGAUGGCUGGACAUUGCAUCAUCCUAGAAAACUUGGAGGCCAGUGAGGGCAAAAAUAAAAAGUUAUAAGACUUUUAAAUAUGUGGAUUUUAGGGUUAUCUUUGGCGCCCCCUAGAACCUAAACCGUGGGGUGCAGCGUCAUGAUUUGAAUAACUUUUAAUGGCCAUGGGGUGUAGAUUGGCCUGAGCAAAUGUGGUGCCGGUGGAACGAAAGCCUUCGGAGGAGUUAGCGAAAUUCCAAUGUGUGCGGAUCGGCAAAAAAUGCGAAAUAACCCUUUAACCGUACAUUUGACAGAUACGGCCGCACUGACUUUUUUGUAGAUCUUAUUGAGAUACAUGUGUGUGUCAAUUUUUGUGUCAUUUUGACAAAGCGUACAGGCGUGACAGUCAAUAGUGUGAAUUUUCACCUUAGGGGGCGCUAUGGAGCCAUUUUGCAUUUUCUUGUUUGGGCGACUUCGGAAUAUCAAAUUUUUCACCAGGCCCGGUCGUCCUGCCAAAUUUCAUGAGUUUUCGCCAGUGGGAAGUGGGCCAUUUUCCAGUUCAAAGGGGAGGAAAAAGAAAAAAGAAACAAAGAAAAACCACUUGGGGAAUAAUAGGGCUCUCGCAGCUGCUUAGCAGCUGAGUGUGUGUGUGUGCGUGUGUCUGUGUGUGUGUGUGUGUGUGUGUGCGUUCAAGUCACAUGACAUAUUUAACCGGAUGUAGCUGCAAGACGGAGCCUCGUUGACUCCGUUUCAACUUAUCUCAAAAGUGAGGACCUCAACCUAUAUACCAGUUUUUAAAUUGUGUUGAUAGGCCAAAUAAAACCAGAGUUAUGAUAAAUUAUGUCCGCGAUACUUUUUUUCUGCUUAUUUUGAUCACGUUCGGCGCUCGAUCGCGCUGUAUGAGACAGGAAAACAUAGCAUGCAGACAUUAGCGACAGGUCUUACAGGCGGAAAAGGCUUGCCAAAGGAAAAAAAAAACACACCACAACAUCUCUCCUAUUGGUGGAAAACUUCACCACAACAACCAAUCCAAAAUUAUAUGGUGACUGAUUGACAAGGGGCGGGCGCUUACGUUCUUCCUGCAAUAUGAGAAGGGAGGGAGGGACUCUCAGCAGGGAUGCAGUCUGGGACACGUAGUUGCAAACCUAGCGACUUUGUUGUUAGAUUCAAUGACUUUUCAGACCCCCUAACGACUUUUUUUAGAAAGAAAGGGACUUUUAUCGACUUCUUCUGGAGUUUAGAGACUCUGACAUGAAGCAGGCUUUCCUUACUGAGGAGUUAGCAACGCUGCUAAGGGUGCAGAGCCACACAUGCGCUCCGAGCUCUGCAUGGGAGACUGAAGCUGACAGAGCUGCAGCAGUUAGCAGGUUUCACCCUCAGAGACCACCAGGGGUUCAUGUUGAGGCAUUUUCAGUUUUUUUUUUUUUUUUUGCCAUAGACACUGUCAGCACAAUCUGCAGUUACACUAACAAAAAUGCUGCAAAAAACAAAGAAUUAUGGAAAAAUUACACAUGGACUAACAUAGAGGAGGAUCUACACAAGUUUUUUACAUCAUGUUUUACAUCAUGCAUCAUUUACAUCAUGUUUUUUUGUAGUGGCAUAAAUAAAAAGUGACAUUUGUGAGACUAUACAGUGUUUUGUAAAUAAUUUUACAAAGAACACCUGGGCCAUUGCCUGCAUUUUUAUGUAAAUAGAGGUAAAUUACUAUGUUCUUUGUUAAAAAUUUGCAUAUGUUUUGAAGUUUACAAUUUUUAUUUGAAGUUUAAGUUUUAAAAACAGUUCAUCACACAUAUUUGUGGUUUUCACAGUAAAAACGUUACUUUUUUCCACUCGGAUUUUAUGUUUUGUGUGUGAAUUUGGGUCCAAUGUGUAAAUAUAGUAUGUCAAAAUGAUAAAAUAACUGUAAAUUGACACAGGUGAGGUUGUGCUGAAAAAAAUGAUACCAGGCAAGGCAAGGUAAAAAUUUUGUAAGAGGAAAUAUAAAGGUAAAAUCUAAAGUAGUCAAAAACGGCCAAUAGUGACUCACAGACUCCACAGACAAGUACCUUUGGCGCCACUCAGUGGGCAAAACUACUUUGUCUACUGUAAUGUAUAUUUGGGUCAUCUUUGGCGCCCCCUAAAACGUAAACCGUGGGGUGCAGCGUCAUGAUUUUUACAACUUUGAAUGGCCAUGGAGUGUAGAUUGGCCUGAGCAAAUUUGGUGUCAGUGGGACGAAAGCCUUAGGAGGAGUUAGCGAAAUUCCAAUGUGUGCGAAUCGGCAAAAAAUGCAAAAUAGCCCUUUUACCGUACAUUAUACAGAUACGCGCUCUUUGACUUUUUCGUAGAUCUAAUUGAGAUACACAUGAUUGUCAAUUUUUGUGUCAUUUUGCCAAAGCGUACAGGCGUGACAGUCAACAAUGUGUAUUUUCACCUUAGGGGACAAGAAAAAAUGGACUUUUUUCUCCUGCCAUGGGGGGGCGCUCUUUUAGGGAGUAAAAAUUCCUUCACAAAUGUGUUGAUGGCUGGACAUUGCAUCAUCCUAGAAAACUUGGAGGCCAGUGAGGACAAAAAUAAAAAGUUAUAAGACUUUUAAAAAUGUGGAUUUUUGGGUUAUCUUUGGCGCCCCCUAGAACGUAAACCGUGGGGUGCAGCGUCAUGAUUUGAAUAACUUUUAAUGGCCAUGGGGUGUAGAUUGGCCUGACCAAACAUGGUGCCGGUGGAACGAAAGCCUUCGGAGGAGUUAGCGAAAUUCCAAUGUGUGCGAAUCGGCAAAAAAUGCGGAAUAACCCUUUAACCGUACAUUUGACAGAUACGCGCGCAUGGACUUUUUUGUAGAUCUUAUUGAGAUACAUGUGUGUGUCAAUUUUUGUGUCAUUUUGACAAAGCGUACAGGCGUGACACUCAACAAUGUGUAUUUUCACCUUAGGGGACAAGAAAAAAUGGACUUUUUUCUCCUUCCAUGGGGGGGCGCUCUUUUGGGGAGUAAAAAUUCCUUCACAAAUGUGUUGAUGGCUGGACAUUGCAUCAUCCUAGAAAACUUGGAGGCCAGUGAGGGCAAAAAUAAAAAGUUAUAAGACUUUUAAAUAUGUGGAUUUUAGGGUUAUCUUUGGCGCCCCCUAGAACCUAAACCGUGGGGUGCAGCGUCAUGAUUUGAAUAACUUUUAAUGGCCAUGGGGUGUAGAUUGGCCUGAGCAAAUGUGGUGCCGGUGGAACGAAAGCCUUCGGAGGAGUUAGCGAAAUUCCAAUGUGUGCGGAUCGGCAAAAAAUGCGAAAUAACCCUUUAACCGUACAUUUGACAGAUACGGCCGCACUGACUUUUUUGUAGAUCUUAUUGAGAUACAUGUGUGUGUCAAUUUUUGUGUCAUUUUGACAAAGCGUACAGGCGUGACAGUCAAUAGUGUGAAUUUUCACCUUAGGGGGCGCUAUGGAGCCAUUUUGCAUUUUCUUGUUUGGGCGACUUCGGAAUAUCAAAUUUUUCACCAGGCCCGGUCGUCCUGCCAAAUUUCAUGAGUUUUCGCCAGUGGGAAGUGGGCCAUUUUCCAGUUCAAAGGGGAGGAAAAAGAAAAAAGAAACAAAGAAAAACCACUUGGGGAAUAAUAGGGCUCUCGCAGCUGCUUAGCAGCUACGCUCGGGCCCUAAAGAAAGAAACAAAGAAAAACCACUUGGGGAAUAAUAGGGCCUACGCCCGGCUGCUCUGCAUCUGGCUCGGGCCCUAACUAGGGCCCCGUUGGGGCACUGGCGGGCCCGAGCCGUGUCGCACCCCCCCCCCCCCCCCAACGCGCUGCCUCCCCGUCCCAUUCGUGUCCUCUGGCCAUCGCCCUCUCUGGUAACGCCCAUCACUGCAAAGACCCUUUUCCUUCAUCGGCGUUUGCUGUUCUUCCUGCCAGUGCGUGUUGCUUUCACUUACACUUGCCACAGCCAGCCUCGUGAGUGCCUAGCCUAUUGGAUAUCACUGUCACCUACACAGGACAGUCAUACUUUGUUUUUUAAUUUAACAUUAAUUUCCAUAUUGUAUAAACGACUGGAAAAAACUUGAGCCCCUGCCCCUGUAUUAUCAUGUGCACGUCCCUGUUCUAGCUCCAAGGUGAAUCUUCACUGCUCAUGUUCUCCUCAGAAGCAGUCACCUCACUCCCCUCAGGUUACUGUACACAUGCACCAACUGCCUGCUUCAGGUUUGGAUGGAGCUUCAUGGUUGUCUUUUGGAGAAAUGAGCAGUCAAUUUGUGUUUGAAAUUUGAUUUUUUUCAGGGGCAAAAGGAAGCCUCUGCAUUCUUGUCAAAUAUGUAAAUAGCAUGUUUUAGCAGGUGCUAAAAAACAGACUCUGAGUGUGUGUGUGUGUGUGUGUGUGCGUGUGUGUGUGUGUGUGUAUCCUGCAGUACUCUGAGAAGAAUAAUAAGCAUAUUUCUGAGGUGAAUUUUGAAGAUUCAUCUGAGAGUUAGGUUUGAUUCGAUUCGAUUGACGCUCCCCAGCGUUCAAGUCACAUGACAUAUUUAACCGGAUGUAGCUGCAAGACGGAGCCUCGUUGACUCUCCGUUUCAACUUAUCUCAAAAGUGAGGACCUCAACCUAUAUACCAGUUUUUAAAUUGUGUUGAUAGGCCAAAUAAAACCAGAGUUAUGAUAAAUUAUGUCCGCGAUACUUUUUUUCUGCUUAUUUUGAUCACGUUCGGCGCUCGAUCGCGCUGUAUGAGACAGGAAAACAUAGCAUGCACACAUUAGCGACAGGUCUUACAGGCGGAAAAGGCUUGCCAAAAGAAAAAAAAAACACACCACAACAUCUCUCCUAUUGGUGGAAAACUUCACCACAACAACCAAUCCAAAAUUAUAUGGUGACUGAUUGACAAGGGGCGGGCGCUUACGUUCUUCCUGCAACAUGAGAAGGGAGGGAGGGACUCUCAGCAGGGAUGCAGUCUGGGACACGUAGUUGCAAACCUAGCGACUUUGUUGUUAGAUUCAAUGACUUUUCAGACCCCCUAACGACUUUUUUUAGAAAGAAAGGGACUUUUAUCGACUUCUUCUGGAGUUUAGAGACUCUGACAUGAAGCAGGCUUUCCUUACUGAGGAGUUAGCAACGCUGCUAAGGGUGCAGAGCCACACAUGCGCUCCGAGCUCUGCAUGGGAGACUGAAGCUGACAGAGCUGCAGCAGUUAGCAGGUUUCACCCUCAGAGACCACCAGGGGUUCAUGUUGAGGCAUUUUCAGUUUUUGUUUUUUUUGCCAUAGACUGUCAGCACAAUCUGCAGUUACACUAACAAAAAUGCUGCAAAAAACAAAGAAUUAUGGAAAAAUUACACAUGGACUGACAUAGAGGAGGAUCUACACAAGUUUUUUACAUCAUGUUUUACAUCAUGCAUCAUUUACAUCAUGUUUUUUUGUAGUGGCAUAAAUAAAAAGUGACAUUUGUGAGACUAUACAGUGUUUUGUAAAUAAUUUUACAAAGAACGCCUGGGCCAUUGCCUGCAUUUUGAUGUAAAUAGAGGUAAAUUACUAUGUUCUUUGUUAAAAAUUUGCAUAUGUUUUGAAGUUUACAAUUUUUAUUUGAAGUUUAAGUUUUAAAAACAGUUCAUCACACAUAUUUGUGGUUUAAUUUCACAUUAAUUUCCAUAUUGUAUAAAUGACUGGAAAAAACUUGAGCCCCUGCCCCUGUAUAAUCAUGUGCACGUCCCUGUUCUAGCUCCAAGGUGAAUCUUCACUGCUCAUGUUCUCCUCAGAAAUAGUCACCUCACUCCCCUCAGGUUACUGUACACAUGCACCAACUAUCUGCUUCAGGUUUGAAAUGGAGCUUCAUGGUUGUCUUUUGGAGAAAUGAACAGUCAAGUUGUGUUUGAAAUCUGAUUUUUUUCAGGGGCAAAAGGAAGCCUCUGCAUUCUUGUCAAAUAUGUAAACAGCAUGUUUUUGCAGGUGCUAAAAAACAGACUCUGAGUGUGUGUGUGUGUCUGUGUGUGUGUGUGUGUGUGUGUGUGUGUGUGUGUGUGUGUGUAUAUGUGUGUGUAUCCUGCAGUGGCCAAAAAGACUUUUAAGAAUGUGGAUUUUUGGGUCAUCUUUGGCGCCCCCUAGAACUGCAGUACUCUGUACUCCUGCAGUGGCCAAAAUGACUUUUAAGAAUGUGGAUUUUUGGGUCAUCUUUGGCGCCCCCUAGAACGUAAACCGUGGGGUGCAGCGUCAUGAUUUUUACAACUUUGAAUGGCCAUGGGGUGUAGAUUGCCCUGAGCAAAUUUGGUAUCGGUGGGACGAAAGACUUAGGAGGAGAUAGCCACAUUCCAAUGUGUGCGAAUCGGCAAAAAAUGCGAAAUAGCCCUUUAACCAUACAUUUGACAGAUACGUGCCUAUUGACUUUUUUGUAGAUCUUAUUGAGAUACACGUGAUUGUCAAAUUGUGUGUCAAUAUGACAAAGUGUAUAGGCGUGACACUCAACAAUGUGUAUUUUUACCUUAGGAGACAAGAAAAAAUGGACUUUUUUCUCCUGCCAUGGGGGGGCGCUCUUUUGGGGAGUAAAAAUUCCUUCACAAAUGUGUUGAUGGCUGGACAUUGCAUCAUCCUAGAAAACUUGGAGGCCAGUGAGGACAAAAAUAAAAAGUUAUAAGACUUUUAAGAAUGUGGAUUUUGGGUUAUCUUUGGCGCCCCCUAGAAAGUAAACCGUGGGGUGCAGCAUCAUGAUUUGUACAACUUUUAAUGGCCAUGGGGUGUAGAUUGGCCUGAGCAAAUUUGGUGCCGGUGGAACGAAAGCCUUCGGAGGAGUUAGCGAAAUUCCAAUGUGUGCGGAUCGGCAAAAAAAGCAAAAUAGCCCUUUAACCGUACAUUUGGCAGAUACGCCCGCACUGACUUUUUUGUAGAUCUUAUUGAGAUACACAUGUGUGUCAAAUUUUGUGUCAUUUUGACAAAGCGUACAGGCAUCAGGUGAGUUUUCACCAUAGGGGGCGCUAUGGAGCCAUUUUUCAUUUUUUUGUUUGGACGACUUCAGAAUAUCAAAUUUUUCACCAGGCCCGGUUGUCCUGCCAAAUUUCCUGAGUUUUCGCCAGUGGGAAGUGGGCCAUUUUCCAGUUUAAAGCGGAGGAAAAAUAACGAAAGAAGAAUCCAUCAGGAACAAGAGGGCUCUCGCAGCUGCUUAGCAGCUACGCUCGGGCCCUAAUAAUAACAAAAGAAGGAAACAUGCAGGAACAAGAGGGCUCUCGCAGCUGCUUAGCAGCUACGCUCGGGCCCUAACAA